rnacentral:lncRNA from 1 species
CCCCUGUUUCUGCCCGUGCUCCUCUUUCUUUCCAUCUUUCUCUCUUUUUAAAGCCCAGCCGAAGGUUCCACAGUUCUCUUCAGCCUCGCUUUUUUGACUUUUCAAACUCUUUCUUUUCCUUUUAUUUUAUUAAAGAGCCCAUAUAUUACAUUCUCCGCUCCUAAAAAAAAUUUCGUCCUCGAAAUUUACAGGUAUCUCAAUCAUGAAACAAGCGAGGGUAUUUGCGCCUUGCCUCUUCCUCGAGUUCCCAAGUGGCCUCUCUCUCUGUGUGAUUCUGCCAUUGGAUCUUCACAUAAGGAAUAGUGCGUCGUCGCAACACCUGAUCCUUCUUAUCAAUAAUACGAAUGGGCUGCUCUUCGUACGUUAAUUUUUCUCUCAACUUCAAUGGUGUAAAAUCCAAUACGUGAUCAGGAUUUGGCACAUAUUUCCGUAAUAAGGAUACAUGAAACACAUUAUGGACUCCGGAUAAUGCUGGAGGUAAAGCUAGCUUAUAAGCAACUUCACCAAUUUUUUCUAAUAUCAAAAAUGGUCCCACGUACCUUGGGCUUAAUUUACCACGCGUGCCAAAUCUCAUGAUGCCCUUCAUGGGAGAAACCUUCAAGAAUACAUGGUCUCCUACAUUAAAUUCUACUUUGCGCCUCUUAAGGUCCGCAUAACUUUUCUGACGGCUUUGUGCUGUUUUCAAACACUCUCGAAUGAAUCUGAUUUUCUCUUCUGAUUGUUGUAUGAAUUCAAGGCCGGUUAAUCUUUUCUCACCAACAUCAUCCCAGCAGAUAGGAGUCCUACAUUUACGCCCAUAUAAAGCUUCAAAAGGAGCCAUUUUAAUACUAGAAUGAUAGCUGUUAUUAUAUGAAAACUCUGCCAAGUGUAAAUGUUCAUCCCACGAACCACCAAAGUCAAUAACGCAAGAUCGUAGCAUAUCCUCUAAUGUCUGAAUAGUUCUUUCUAACUGGCCAUCCGUUUAUGGACGAAAAGCUGUGCUAAAGUUGAGUUGAGUACCUAACGCCUCUUGUAAACUCUUCCAAAAGUUGGACACAAAUCUGGGAUCUCUAUCGGAAACAAUACUCACUGGAACUUCAUGAAGUCUCACUAUCUCAUUGAUAUAUCACUUUGCCAUGUCUUCAAGUGAAAGACCAAAUCGAUAAGACAAAAAGUGUGCAGAUUUAGUUAAUCGAUCAACAAUCACCCAUAUGGCAUUCUUACCACUAGGCGUCCUCGAUAAGCCAACGAUGAAAUCCAUGGUAAUAUGCUCCCACUUCCAUUUAGGUACUUCAAGUGGGUGUAGCUGGCCCCCUGGUUUCUGAUGCUCAACUUUCACUUGCUGGCAAAUUAGACAUUAGUCGACAAACUUCACAAUAUCUUUCUUCAUAUUGAUCCACCAAAAAUUUCCUCUCAAAUCCCUGUACAUCUUAGUGCUUCCUGGAUGAAUUGAGAAUCUAGUGCUAUGAGCUUAUUGUAAUAUCUCAUUUUUCAAUUCUGAAUCAUUAGGAACACAUAAUCGACCACAAAACCUCAAUGACCCAUCUACAUGGAUACUAAAGUCAUCUUGUUUCCCAACUUCUACACCUUCUUUAAUCUUCUCCAAUUGAGGAUCUUUAUUUUGUUUAGCCUUGAUUAUGUCAAUCAAUGUCGGUUGUACUCGAAGAUUAGCCAAUUGAACACCAAGUCGAUGGACCAAAACCUCCAGGUCCAGCUUUCUCAUAUCUUCAAGAAUAGGAUUUUGAGAAGUGAGCAAUGCUGCCAUAUUUCCAGAGGAUUUGCGACUCAAGGCAUCGGCUACCACGUUAGCUUUACCUGGAUGAUAAUUGAUAGAUAAGUCAUAAUCCUUCAUAAGUUCUAACCAUCUCCUCUGCCUCAUGUUAAGUUCUUUCUGAGUAAAAAUAUAUUUCAAACUCUUGUGAUCGGUAAAGACUUCACAUUUUUCACCAUACAAGUAGUGCCGCCAUAUUUUUAAUGCAAACACAACCGCCGCCAACUCUAGAUCGUGAGUAGGAUAGUUCUUCUCAUGAGUCUUCAACUGUCUAGAGGCAUAUGCAACAACUUUACCAUCUUGCAUAAGAACACAACCUAAACCUUCCUUAGAUGCAUCGCAAUAAAUUAUAAAGCCACCAGUUCCUGAAGGCAAAGUUAAUAUUGGGGCUGACAACAAUCGCCUCUUCAACUCUUGGAAACUGCAUUCACAUUGAUCUGACCAUACAAAUUUAACUCCCUUCUGAGUUAGGCGAGUAAGUGGACUGGCAAUUUUAGAAAAUCCAUCUAUAAAUCUCCUAUAAUAACCUGCUAACCCAAGAAAACUUCUCACCUCCAUGACAUUGGUAGGGCGAUUCCAUUGAACAACUGCUUCAACUUUCUUUGGAUCAACUGAGAUACCAUCCUUUGAUAUUACAUGACCCAAGAAUUCUAUAUGAUCAAGCCAGAAGGCGCACUUACUAACUUUAGCAUACAACUUCUUUUCACGCAAAGUUUGUAAAACAACUCUCAAGUGUUGUUCAUGUUCUCCCAAACUCCUCGAAUCCACCAAAAUAUCAUCGAUGAAUACCACAAUAAAUCUGUCAAGAAAUUGCCUGAAUACCCUGUUCAUCAAAUCCAUGAAAGCCGCAGGUGCAUUCGUUAACCCAAAAGGCAUGACAAGGAAUUCAUAAUGCCCAUACCUUGUUCUGAAAGCGGUCUUUGGUACAUCAUCAACUUUUAUCUUCAACUGAUGAUACCCAGAACGGAGGUCGAUCUUAGAAAAUACUUGAGCCCCUUGAAGUUGAUCAAAUAAAUCAUCUAUCCGAGGUCAAGGAUAUUUAUUUUUGAUCGUCACCUUGUUAAGUUCUCGAUAAUCUAUGCAAAGUCGCAUACUACCGUCUUUCUUCUUCACAAAUAGAACAGGAGCUCCCCAAGGCGAUACACUAGGCCUAAUAAAACCCUUAUCCAAAAGCUCUUGCAGUUGAGUCUUCAAUUCACUCAAUUCAGAAGGUGCCAUCCAAUAUGGGGUCUUAGAGAUGGGUGUUGUACCAGGCAUUAAAUCGAUGCAAAACUCUAUCUCUCUAUCAGGAGGCAAGCCAGGUAAAUCUUCAAGAAAUACAUUAGGAAAUUCUCUGACAACAUGAACAUUUUCUAGCUUUACCGGCUCCUUACUUGUAUAUUUUACACAAGCUAAAUAACCGCAACAACCCUUUCUCAAAAGCUUUCUUGCUCGCAUAGCUGAAAUUAACCUUGGAAAAGUGCCUUCAUAACUUCCCGAAAAAGAGAAUUCUGGGUGAUUUGGAGGUCGAAAAAUAACUUUCUUUGAAUAACAAUCGACAGUGGCAUGAUAUUUUGAUAACCAAUCCAUCCCUAGAAUAACAUCAAAAUCUCGUAUAUCUAACUCCACCAAAUCCACAAGCAAUGGUACAUCAUCAAUUCGCAACAAACAAUUCUUGAAAAUAUGAUCAUCAAUCAAGAAAUCACCAGUGGAAGUAUCGAUACACAAUUCAUAUUUUAGAAGCUCAGGCAACACAUCAAGUUUCUUUGCAAAGUAAAUGGAAGUAAAGGAAUGCGUAGCACCGGGAUCAAACAAUGCAUAAGCAGGUUGUGAGGCAAUAGAAAUAUUACCUGCAACAACUGUAUUAGAAGCCGCCGCAUCCUCUCCUGUCAUCGUAAAAACUUUCCCAGUCAUCACUUGCCUUUGCUGGCCUUCUUGUGGCCUAUCAACUGGAGGUGCGGUCUUCCUCAUAGAACAAGUAUAGGCUCGAUGUCCAGGUUGUCCACAUACAAAACAUACUCUACUAUCUUUAGGGGCAUUCUUCUGUGUUGGACAAUCACGUGCCAUAUGUCCCAUUUUUCCACAAGUGAAACAUGCUCCUCUCUUGUGGUAACAAGGACCGCUAUGUCGUUUCCCACAUGUAGUACAAGGGCCUGGAUUAUUCUGAAUUCUGGGCUUUCCUGGCUAAUUAAAAGCUUUCCUCUUUCCGCUGCCACCGGCACCGCUAUCCUAAUAGUAAGUGAAUCUCAACUUCUUAUGUUGAGGUAUGCCUUGCACAUCUCGCUCCAGAAUCUUUUGUUCCACUUUAAUCGCUCGUUCCAGCACGUCUUUAUAAGAUGUCAAUGCUAGAGGUGUGAGUGCCGAACCAAUUUCAUAUCGGAGCCCCCUCUGAAAGUGAUCAGCUUUAUCUUGCUCAUUAGAUACAUAUUGCUCAGCAAAUCUACUCAUCUAAUUAAAACGGGCUGCAUACUCCAAAACCGUGGAGUCGCCUUGAGAUAUGUGUAUAAAAUCACUCUUCAUUUUUGUCUGAAAUGACAUCGGGAAGAAUUGGGCAUUGAAAGCCUGCUUAAAGUCCUCCCAAGCUAUAGCACCACCCUUAUCUCCGAGAGCUGGCCUCAUUCCCUCCCACCAAUGCUCUGCCUCGCCUUCUAAGUAUCGAGAAACAAAACUAACCUUCUUAUCUUCGGGAACACCUUCAGCUUCAAAGAUCCCUUCAAUCUUUCUAGUCCACUGCUCAGCUGCAAGAGGAUCAGCUUUCCCAUCAUAAGUGGGUGGUUUCGCCUUUCUGAAUUGCACAAAGGUGUAUGAGCCAGUUGCUCCAUCUCCACUUAAUUCCUUUGCUUGACGAUACCAAUGAAUCAUAGCUUGCUCAAAGUCACUCGGGGGAAACGACCGUUGGUUAACUUCCCUAACUUCAUACGAGUUAGGACUUUCCUCACGCCGAUCCUCCCGUCUCCUCCUUAGAGACGCACCUCGAGAAGCUUGAGGCAUGUCUCUAGCAUCAGGGGCUACAACUUGCUUGCCUUUACUAUUUCUACGAAGCGAAGCAAGUGUCUCCGAGUCACGCAUGAUCACCCGAAUCCAAGAACGAAGCUACAACUUAAUAUCUAAAAGGCUAACACGUUAAAAAAAAAAUCUAUUACACAAUCUCACAUCGUCCCAUAUCUACCCAAACAAAUCAAAACCUAGGCUCUGAUACCAACAAAUGUCACACCCCGAUUCACAAGAAGAAGGGGCAUGACACAGCCGUCCUUUUUUUUUUUUCAAAGGACGCAGCCUCAACGUAACCAAAAUUUCAACCCGAUAUCAACAUAUAUACAUCCACAUAUAUAUAUUUGACAAAAAGGGGCACUUGGUUACAAAAUCUAUAUCAGAGUAUAUCUAUAAUCCACAAAAAUCAAAACACAAACCUUCUACAAGGACUAACUUAAAAACCCAUUAACUAUGCACAAGUCAUACCAAAAAGUUCCACCACAAAAGUCCUCCUCGAGCGAACGCUCACGCCUACUCGUGACUCACUGAAGAACCUGAAAAACAAGUAUAAGAAAGGAGUGAGCUACUACGGCUCAGUGAGUAACACAUUUCUUCUAAGCGGAUCGAGAAAUCACUAUGCACAUUUAAAACAUAACUCAAAUACAUAAUCAUAACUCAAAUACCAAAAUACCAAUGGUCCAGUCCAUUAGUCAAUCUCAUAAAACAUGCAUCAAUGGUCUAUUCCAUUGAUUAAUCUCAUCAAAUUACAUCGAUGGUCCAUUCCAUUGAUCAAACUCAAAUCACACGUCAAUGGUCCACUCCAUUGAUCAAUUCAUGCUCAAAUGUCUAGCCAUGGUCACACGUAACGCCCAUGAGAAGACGACCAAGAUUCCCCCCUUGGCAAGGUCUCCACAUAUUAUUAGCCGGUGGCUCGGCCCACAAGGAUAUCCUAGAAUAGUAUGCGCAUACCCACACCCCUCAGGGUCCAUAGAGACAUUGAGCAUAAUAACAACUCGAAAGAGAAUCAUAUCACAAUAUCCAGUAAUCCAACAUUAGAAAGAGAAUCAUAUCACAACUCAAAAUUUGAUAUAUAAAUAUCAAAGCAUUCUCCAAAACAUUUCAAGAUUCUUUCACAAAGAAUUUCACAAAUCCUUUUUCAAACAACUAUUCAAAUCGAAGUCGGAAUAUAACUCCCUUCGAAUAACAAAAAUGUUAGUAAUAGCUCGAUCCUGUUUAAUGCAACAAAAUAUGCUUUUUAUCAACUCAUGGAAUAUAUAAUCCACCACGUUUCUCAAAACAUGAGUUUAAAAUACAAAGAAUAAAUAGUGUCACUCACCUGGGAAAAGCCAAAAAUCAACUACGACGCUCACACGAACCAACGCAUCGGAUUCCUAACAAUUAACAGAAAAAUAUCAAAAAGCCGAGUAAAAAUGAUAUUCUUAUAACGACUCGCCUAUACUAGGCCUAUUAGUCGAUAAACGACACCUACGCGCCCCAAAAGCUCACAAUUUACCAUAAACCCAUCAUUUUCAGCUAGGCGCGGCCCAUGCGCCAACUUCGUCAUGCCAUAAAUCCCUCCACAAAAUUCCGUUUCAAGCCAUCUUAUAGUCUUUAGAAAGCUCUCUUAACGUACAACAACAACCCCAACUCAGCCGCCCCAAAACAGUACCGGAAAUAACAAAAAAAGAGACUCGAAGCCACUGUUCGUUACAGUACCAGAUUGCGCCUCCAACUUCAAAAUUCCGUUCCGAACAAACCGCAAGCUCAAAUCACGAUCCGAAAGAUGCUAUAGCUUCACAACAUCCCAAAGUACCAUUUCUAAAAAAAUUUACAGCUUAACGACUCAAAAAUUGGGCUUCGCCACACAAAUACCCAAGAAAUCCGAAUUUCGAGCCCUAAUUGCGGCAAUUGCUUCAAGCAAGUGAUUAAAAGCUUCAAUUUCUUACCGGCCUUGCAAAACACACUUGAGUCGGCUUGAUAAGGCGUCCGGGUCACGAGCGCACCAAAUUUUUUCCCUUUUUCCUUUCUCUUCUUUCUCUCUUCUCCCCUGUUUCUUUCGUUCCCCCGUUUCUGCCUGUGCUCCUCUUUCUCUCCAUCUUUCUCUCUUUUUAAAGCCCAGCCGAAGGUUCCACGGUUCUCUUCAGCCUCCCUUUUUUGACUUUUCAAACUCUUUCUUUUCCUUUUAUUUUAUUAAAGAGCCCAUAUAUUACAACUGCUGACCAUCAUGCACAAAGAUCAUGCAUGAUCGUGAUCAGCAACGGUUGCUGAUCCCACAAUCAGCAACCGUUGCUGAUUCGUGAAGGCUUUAAGAAAUAAAAUGCUGCAAAAAGGUUGCGAAGAAUGAAGUAAUGCUUUGCUGAAAAUAGAGAGCAAAGUGUGUGUGUGUUCUUGUGUCUUUGAGACGCAAGAAAGAAGAGCGUUAUCUCGUUCGGGCCGUGACUAUUAUACAUCAAGAAUACAACGGAUUGUUUCCACGUGAUUGCUAGCAUGAUUGAAGUGGUGAAUAUCCAAAAGUUCUCUCUUCCGUUCGACGUUCGUUGUUGGUGUGUCUGAACUAGAGGUCCGACGCUUGUGAGACUCGAACUGUAGAACAUCCGAACCGAUUCGUUUCAAAGCGCGCUUCGAGAGGUAAUUCUUUUGACUCCCUUUUAUGUUUAGAUUUUUGAUUAAAACGCACAAACAACGCCUUAAGAGAAUCAUGUGUAAAAUAUAUCUUUGUUUCCGCUGCGUUCAUUUCGUUAAUUUUUCUUAUACAUGAUUCAUGAAACCCCAACAAAUCCUUGGGAUGGUGUCAACUGAUAUCUCUGGUUUGGAUGAUCUACUUAGUAAGAGAGUAAACCAAGUAAAAGGUAAUUGCCUCAAGUGCAUCGAGUCAGAAUGAAAUGGAAUCCAAGAAAAACAUCAUAUGAACGCAAUAGUCUGAUUAAUACAGAGUCCACACCAGGAGAACCAUCGAAACUUCAAAGAUUUAACGAAAAGAAAAAUUCGGCUUCUUCACAUUACGAAGUCAAUGUGUGCUAUUUAAACUCUGGAACUCUUAAUGGACAACUUAAUGAAACUCUUAUGUACUGGAGUAAUGUCGCCUAGAUAUGCAUGGGACCUAAUAAUGGUACCAUCCUACAUCCGCGUGAAAACCACAUAAGAUCAGAUUGUUUUGAAGAAAAUGAAGAUGAAGGCGACUUCCACCACAAAGGGGAAAGUGAAGACAUUCCUGCGCUAUCUUAACUGUGGCUAUGUAGUCCGCCACAUUGGGUAACACCGAAGAAAACAGCUUACAAUUGCAAAGGAAAAACAGAUGAUCAGAAUCCACAUGAGCAAUUUGGAGAACAGAAUGACAACUGAUUCUAAAGCCGGCAAGUGCAACAUGUCCAUCAUAAUAAAAGAAAGCUAUUAUCCUUAGCCAAAGUUAGAGAUAUCAUCCUUUAGUUACCCUGUUUCUAUGCAAUAUUAUUAGAAAGUGGAUACUAAUUACCUCAUGAAACAAAGAUGCUGUAUUUGCAUGUUGGGAAGCUAGCUGAGAAUCACGCAAAAUGUCAUGAAUCCUUGAGCAGAGUCCCUUAAUUGAUAGAAAAGCCGAUCCUUUGACUGCAUAAUGAAACAGUUAAUAGAAACACUUUUCAUGCAGCAAUCACCUAAGAAAAAUUUGGUUAUGAAGAUACUAGACCAUGACAACUCAGGUGAGAGGGAGACAAUCCAGAGGCGCUUCAAGUUAUUUUUCUCUUCGACAAUAUCAUCAAUACAUGCCACGUGGAAUCAUUACACCUUCUCUUCAACUCAUGUGAAUCCAACUUAAGAGUGAUGCUCUACCCGAAAAACAAACUGGACAUGCGUUAAUCGAUGUAGAGUAUUUAUCUUCUUUACAUUUCAUUUUUUAGAAGGUUAUUGUCGUAGAGGUGAUGCCCUCGGUGCUGAGAUAUCUCACACUUUUUAUAACAAAUAUUUAUCCUAUACGGUGUGAUGAAGUUAACGUUCUCCUGCAUGAAGCAUGGGCAUCGAACAACUUCAGAUUUAGUAAUAUGAGGCAACAAUUAUAAGGAUUCCUCCGAUAAAUCACCAUAUAAUGCACUUAGAAGUUAUAGAAAUUGACUCGACCUCAUUGGGUAAGUUAAUUAGCAAUCAAAGCCACUGAAACAUCCUAACCAAACCAAAUUAAAACAAAGAAGAUCUGAAUAAGGGUAUAUAGAAGUUUAAAACCAUAUAAGAAGUCAACAUGCCAAGUGCACAUGAAGGGAAAAUUUGCAUAAACCUCUUAGUAAUUCAUAUCUGUAACAGAAUAGAAGGCACUUCUUAUCAGAAAAAAGUACUCAACAGAGCAGGUAUCCAUUGUUUUCUCUCUUGCAGAAACUUGCCAAGUUCGAUCAAGCAACUCCAUAACGUGCUGAAUUUCCAAAUCACCUAUGGUGAAGUAUGCCUCUCCAUUUUAAUUUCUUUAACGUCGAUACAUUAGGAAACUUCAUGACUGAGUUUUCGGUGGAGAUCCAUAAAUUUUCCAACAAAUUCGGUCAACCGGAUUACCACAAUGAUGUAAAUGAAAAGCCAUUAGUUUCCAUAAGCCACUCAGACCAUCCAAUUUUCCUAGUUGGUUGAGUUUGUUCAGCUCCAAAGUUCUAAGACUUCCAGACUCUCAAGGCCUAGAAUUUCUAUGCUGCAGAAUACUCGAUUAAGGCAGGAGUCCAUGUCAAGCACAGAGAAUUUAUAGACUCUUCAAUCCUUGACAUUCAAGCAUAUGCUUUAUUGAGGUCAUGCAGCAAUCCCUUUGUAGGCAGAAAUCCAUGUCAGACUUUCCCUUCCAUCUUGGUAGCUUGUAGAUGUAUUUUCCCAACACUUUUGAAUGAUUUAAAAUUUUACUUUGUUUUCUGGUUUCUUGCUGAAAAUUGUUUUGAGCCAGUGGUGACAUCAUGUCUAUGUGUCAUGGUCCUUUUUAAGAUUUAGUUUCUCCUUUGCUGUUUAUGACAGUAAGUUUUGUAGUUCAGAGGGCAUUUUCACCAUGAACCUGGGAUGUUUUUGUUAUUAGGAGGAUGUUCACCCCACAAACAUCCAAGUGCUUCUUGUGGAAGCAAUUAAUUGCGCCUCAGUUGUAAAUUCAUGCCCAAUCUCACUGUUACAUAUUAUUAAAACUUUUUUUUUUUUGUGCUGAGGGUGGAUUUGGUUUUGUUGUGUGUGGGGUUUGGUGUUGGGAAAAUUAUGGAUGGGAUCUUGGCAGAGUUAACGCUAGACCUUGAACCCUCAUGGAGAGAAAGGACUAUUCUAUUGUUCACCUUUGUAUGUGAAAUGUAAUAUAUGGUUGUUGAUUCAAAGUGUUUUUUCCUCCUUUUGAAAGGGCCAUUGAUCUAUUAAUAUUCAAGUUAUUUGGCUGUAUAAUUAUGUGUGCUGGAGCUGUUUUUUUCAGACUGGCAUUUGCUUGAUUUACUUAUAUAAAUGAAACAGUUCAUUUCCAGGUCAAUCAUGAAGCACGGAAUGUUCAGGUUUUAACAUUUGGACAACCUCGUAUUGGCAAUGCAGUGUUUGCAUCUUACUACAGUGACCAUGUACCAAAAACAUUACGAAUUACUACUGGACUUAUUGCCGUGCCUCAUUUGCCUCUGUACUAUUCUUGGUUCCCACAGUAGAUGUACCAUCACUUCCCUAGAUAGGUAUAACUUUGAUCUUGGCAGAAGUUGAAGACAUGUAUAAUGUUUGCUAUAUAUAUACUCUGUGUGUGUGUGUGUGUGGGUGAUUACCGAGUCUUAAUCUCCGUGCAAUUAUACACUCUUAAAUUAUGUAUGUACACUCAUGGUUGUAAUUAUUUGUGACUAGCUCCAAGAUAGCCAUGGAUAACAAUAUUGACGUGAAAUAAUGUGUAAAUGAUUUGAUUCCACCUGCUUCUCUGGUGACUAAUUGUACUCGUAGCAGUGUUCACAUGUAAUUGUAAUCCUCCCUUUGUUGUAGGUAUGGCUGUAAAAUAUAGGAUUUGGUAGUCUGGUUUAUGAGGUUGAGAAAGAUUGUGAUACAUCUGGAGAAGAUCCAUCAUGCAGCAAGUAAGGAGCUAGUUUCAGUCGUAGCUACUUGUUCAAGCUAUCAUUCUAUGGAUAUAUCAUGCUAGGUGCAAUAAGUCAUGGGAUGGACCAGCUUGUUCUGGAGAAUGUCCGUUUGUUACCAGGAAUAUUUGUGGACAACUGAAGAGGGGGUUUUUCUGCAGAUUGGUAACUGGACAAUAUUGUAGACCAUUCAGUCUUACUAUAGUGUGGAACUAAUGGCUGAGUCAUGGGGCAUGCAAAAUUGUCACGGACGCACUAUUGACUGAAUAUGGAGGUGGAGAUGUCAAAGGAAAUCUUAUGCUUUCCAGGAAUCCUUCUUCUGCUGCAUUGAGGCUGCAUUCAGACUCUGAUGCCAAGAGCAACUUCAGUUGAAAUGCUCCUGGGUCAGCACCUGAUUUCUCAAAGAUCAUCGUGGACCUCUGUGAUGAAGUUUGGUCACGAAAAACAUUUCCAUCGAUCUGUUGUCCAUAUCUAUCGGAAGAUGCAUAGGAGCUCUUCUCAAAUUCACCCUGAAUGUAAAUAGCACAAAGUUGAAUAUAUCAUUUUUGUAAAUACAACUCCGUCAUUUCAAUUGAAUGAAUGUGUUUGCAUGUUUGCCUAUCAAUCUAAUCUUGGGCUUGUGGCUGUUUACCAGACUUGAUGUGUGGAUGCUGAGCUGAGCUAUUCAUAGUUGAAUCAUGCAGCUAUUUCCCUUCUUUUCUUUCUUUUUUGGGGGUUGAACUUGUGUUGCACUUCGCAAAAUUAGCAGAUGCGUGAAAUUUUGGACUUGUGAGACUUGCACGGUUAGGCAAUUAUCCGGUUUAAUAAGGUGAAACAUAGACUGUCUCGGGAGACCAUUUCUCAAGCUGUGACCUUACCUUCUGCCACAGGCACAUUGGCACAUAAGAUUUCUUGGCAAAAGUAAGUACUUCAACUGUUUCCUAGCCUAGUUAUGCAGAUCGACUGUCAAAUAAGCCAUCUUGGAAACUGAUGAUGACCUUGUCUUGCAUCAUCUCCACUGGUAACCUCUGCUCAAUGUUAACUUUUAGGAGGUAAACAAUUUAUAUCAUCUAGGCGAUGAUACGUAACAAUAGUCUAAUCAGCCUUUGGAACGAGAGUUGUAAGUUUUUACCUUCUUUUUUUUUCCCUUGAUAUGCAAGAAUUAACAGCAUUGGAAACCUGAAAAACUAAAUUUCCUUCUUCAUUUCAAAGCAUAUAUUGCCAAUUAUGACCAUUCAAAGCACAUUGUGCAAGAGACCAAGUCCUUGACACCGUAUGAUUAGCUAGAGUUUAUACAUUUUGGAAAAGGCUAGAGUACAACACCAAAAUGUGGGAAAGAAAUAUUGUUCAGUCGUCUUACUAGUAUCUUCCUUUACUUGGUCAGUUGGUUGUUAAUUGUAAGCCUUAAUUGAGUUAGCCACAGUUUACCUGCACAACAAGACUCCACAUCUUAUUACCGAGAGAAAAAGCUCAACCCGUCAUGUAGGACUUUUGUCAAGGAAUGAUUCUCCUUAUAAGUGUUAAAACUAAAGCUCCUCUAGGAUAAUCAAAAGGUGAAUGAAAGAGCUUUUGUUACCAAUUGCAGCCUACUCAUUUGGUUAUAUCUUUCAUUGUUUAAGCUGUAACAAAGUUAAAUUUUUUAAGGUACAGGUAUUGGCAAAGUUAAAUUUUUUAAGGCACGGGUAUUGGUCUCAAAUUUAAAGUACAAACUAGUAAUUUCCAAAGAUAUCACAUAAAUGACCGACAUGUAAAUUAACAGAAUUAAUGCACUUGAACGUAAUAAUACUUGCCUCGAUUUGUGUAUUCAAGGCUUGUAAGAGCUCCAAUCGAUGGGAAGCUGUGUAAUUAACUAUCUUCAAUGAUAAGCAAUGUGAAGCAUUUUGAGAUCCUUCAAUGCUCGAUAUUCAGGGAUUUUUGUAUCAUGUGCAAUCAAUGAGGAGUUCCUUUAAAGAUUCCAAUUUUUCUAGCUCGUCCAAUAAGUUGCAAAGUUUCCCACAGUGCUUCACAUUUAAGGAAGCUAUAUUGAGAAAGAUUUUCUUUUUCCCAUCGUGUAAUGCCUCCUAACUUAUUUCAACUUGCACAAAGAACUCUUUCGAACUUCUUCAAAGUGACAAUUCCACAUCUACAUGGCAAGUUUCUAAAAAUUUAAAGAGAUUGGUUGAAAUCCAUAACAUUAAGUUCCUACUUCCAAUAAAUUUCAUCAACAUUGAAAACAUUUUUGUUUCUGGUGGUAAAUACAAGCCUGCUUCCCCAUCAAACCAAUUACAAUUACCCAUGAGUGCAUUCUAUUGAUUCUUCUUAUCAACAUCAUACAAAAAAGUGAGAACUUUUUCACUAGACAGCCUUUCUUUCAUUGUCUUGAUCCCUUCAUUAACAUUACUUAUUUCUGUCGAUUUCCUUUUGGGGCAUGCGGAAUGAGUUGAUUGUGGAAGUACUCAAUGCCCUUGAGCUCUAAAGUUUCACAGGUGUUAGAAAGAAAGCAACAGUUUAUAAAAUCAUGUGAAAGUUGAUUGUAAAUGAUUUUGAUGAGAGUGGACUUUCUAACACCAUCCAUUCUAUGAAUUCCGAUAAUUUGUGUUUUCUGUGAGUGCUUAUCAUACUCAUGACUAAGACCAAAUUGAACACCAUUUUCCCAUUGAAAGGUCCAUUAAAUGGUUUUGGCAGGUACAACUAAGACUACCCUGAACUCCACUUUAAGCGCACCCAAUUUGUCUCCAUGUCCAGACAAGCCCUUCAAGCGUUUCCUCGUAAAAGAACAUCUGGGUACUCGUAAGCCAGUUCUAUUGCAUAUCAAUGAAGAGAACACACGUUUAGAUGAAAUGCAAUAUUCAUUCUUAUGGCCCCACAAAAAAGAUUAAUAAACAAUCUGGUGUGCAUAAAUAAACCUUUUACUCCCCAAAAACAUUACGCAUGAUGAUCCAAAUCGCAAAAUAAGCCGCUCUAACCUGCUUUAACGAUUUCUCUGAAGAAAAGGGUGAACCAUCCAACUGAAACUUCAUAUCGAGUUAAACAGAUUUAACAAUUUCAUCAAUAGGCAGCGACUUCCCUCACUAAUCUUCAUGUUUCUGGCUCUCAACAGAUGAAUACACAGUUUAGCAAUCCAAGAUUGUGAAAGGGAUUACAGUCCAGAUUAAAUGUCAUCCUUCAUUGUCCUUCAUUCGGUCAUCAUUUGUAAAGUUGCCCAAGUAGCCACACCUCCCUGCACAGAAAGAAUUAUGUAAGUUUUCUCAAACUUUAAUUCCUCUCAGCAACAUCAGAAACCGGCAAAAAGGCUGUGGUUUGAGAUGUGUCCCUUAAUAAUUCUUGUCAAUCUUGAAACCUAAAAUAAUCCUCUAGUACAACUUCAGGUGAAUGGAAGGACUCUUAUUACAAACAAUCAUCUAGGCAUAACAAUUCCUAGAAAAUGUAGGCAAUAAUGGAGAGAUUACAGGAGUCCAUUUAUAUAAUUUCCGACCCCAGGUUGAUGUUUAUUAUAUGUCCUAUGUACAGAUAAUACUGAAAUUUAGCCUCAACUAUAAGAUGAUUUAUAAUACCUUAGAGAAGCUAAAUAGUUUUCCUCUCUUGUCACAGAUGGAAGCUUUGCUGCACCAUCUUUUGAUGUCGCAACCCAGGUGAAAUUCCUCAUUCUUCAUUUGAUAACUUUUCCAUAACAUUUGCAAAUCCCACUAAGAAGCACACCCUUUCCAAGAGAAAUAAACUGAACAUAAGCAUAUCAAUUCAAAGUCUGUCUUAUUCACAAUUGCAACAAUAAGUUGAUUAUGCUGUAAAAUUCCAGGAUGAGAACCAUAGUGCUAUGAGCUUCCAAUACACAUUCCAUCUAAUUGUUUACAGUAUAGCAAAGCUAUCUCCAAUGCGUAGCAAAGGGUAUCAACUUUGAAAUAUGUGAAGUAGAAAAUCGAUGAGGAUCUCUAAGUCAUAAAUCAAAUAAUAAGAUUCAAUCGGCAUGCAUACCUCCAGCCGGGAAACAUAAAAGCAAGGAGAAACCAUCCAAAGAGAACUUAGCUAAAAAAGCCAAACCAAACUAGGAAAAGAAAACAUACAUUUGCACAUAAUUAAGAACCCUCUAGCUGUACGGAGGUACCCUAAUUUCAAUACCUUCUUGAGAUUUCCAAGCAUCAACUCCCAAAGUAACUGUAAAGCGAACGAAAAGCUUCACUCAUCUUCAUUUUCCCUAUUUGGUAUUCAUUUGUAUAGCUGCCCAAUUAGCCACAGCUCCCUGCAUAGAAAGAUUUCUGUAAGUUUUUCAAACUUUAAUUCCUCUCAGCAACAAUAGAAACCGGCAAAAGGCAGUUGUUUAAGAUGUCUCCCUUAGCACUUCUUGUCAAUCUUAAAACCUAAAAGAAUCAUUUAAUAUAACUCGAGGUGAAUGGAAGGGCUUCUAUUACAGAUAAUUACCUAGGGAUAACCGUUUCUAGAAAAUGUAGGCAAUAAUGGAGAUCACACAAAUGUCCAUUUACGUGAACUGUGACCUUAGUGAAAGUUAUUAGAUGUCCUAUACAGUAGGCAUUGAUAUAAUUGAAAUUUAGCCGGAACUACAAGAUCAUCUAUGAUAACUUGGAGAAGCUAAAUAGUUCUCAUCUCCUGUCACAAAUGAAAGUUGUGCUGCACCAACCAUUGACGCAGCUACCCAAGUGAAAUUCAUCUUUCUUCAUUUUAUAACUUCUCCCUAGCAUUUACAAAUCCCAAUAAGAAGCAUACCUUUCCAGGAAAAAUAAACUGAACAUAAGCAUAUCAACAUAGAAGGUCUGUCUACUUAACAGUUUCGAUAAUGAGUUGGUUAUACUGUAAAUUUAUAGGAUGAGAACCAUACUUAUAUGACCUUCCAGCACACAUUCCAUCUAAUUGUCUACAGCAUAACAAAGUCAUCUCAAAUGCAAAGCGAGGUUAUCAACUGCGAUAUAUGUGAAACAACAAAUCGACAAGGAUCGCUAAUAAUUUGUUACAUAUCAAAUAAGAAUGAUGCAAAAUCGAGAUGCAUACCGCCAAGUGGCAAACAUAAAACCAAGGAGAAACCAUCCCUCGAGAAUAUAUCUGAAAAACCAAACCAAAAUGGAGGUACCAUAAUUUCAAUGCCUUCAUUAGAUUUACAGAUGUCAGCUCGCGAAAAGGUCAUUAAAAGGUGCAUGUGAGGCUUCUCUGUUCAUAUCCGUGAAAGAGAUCGAUUGCAGAAAAGUAAAAACAUUGGUUGUCAGAUGAAAUGACUUACCUCAAUUCGUUUGGAGCUUGAACACAAGAGAACAAUCUGCGGUUGGGGAUCAAGAAGCUUUCAAGAGCGACGGGCACUUAUCUGCCAGUCUUCUCCCUCAUAACUUCAAAUUCAAAUCCAGAUUCGUCAUCUCCUCCCUUUGAUUCGUCUCAUCUCCCUUAAAUUCGACCCCCUUCUCCAAGCAAAGUGAAGGAAUUGCCUAUACAUUUACUUUCCCACAACCCUCUAUUCUAACUCUAUUCUACCCCUUCAAGCUUGACAGAUCAAGCAACUUUUGUAAAGAUCCACAUUCCCAAAUCGAAAAUGAUUUUAAAGAUGGUGGGAAGUGGCCUUGAAUCUCAACCAGAUUUCCACAAUCGUAUAAAUGAAGAUCCCUUAGUUUGUUGAGAUUACUUAGAUCAGGUAAUACCUCCACCUGUUGAAGUUCCCCAAGCCGCAAUUCUUGUAGGUUCUCCAAACGAUCAAGACCUCGAAUCUCUGAGAUUGCAAGGUUAGUGAUCUCAAGAUUUGAUAGUGUCUUCAAAUUCGAUAGAUCCACCACAUUUAAUUUCCCGCAACCCUCUAUUUCAACCGUUCUCAGUCCCUUCAAGCUUGACAGAUCAGGCAACUUCUGUAAAGAUCCACAUUCCGAAAUCGAAAAUGAUUCUAAAGAUGGUGGGAAGUCGCCUUGAAUCUCAACCAGAUUUCCACAAUCUUGUAAUGUAAAAUGACCUAGUUUGUUGAGAUUACUUAGAUCAGGUAAUAUCUCCACCCAUUGAAGUUUCCUAAGCUCCAAUGUUUGUAGGUUCUCCAAACGAUCAAGGCCUUGAAUCUCUGAGAUUGCAGAGUUAACGAUAUCAAGAUCUGAUAGUGUCUUCAAAUUCGAUAGAUCCUCCAUGGAACAACACGACUUGCAAUUGUACAAAUGUAACUCUACUAAACUAGAGGGAAGGCUCGGGAGGCAACACAGAUUAGGGCACUUGAGCUCAAGUGACUUGAAUCGAGGAAGGAGACUGCUCAUAUCCAUGGGUAACAUGGUCAAGCAUUCAGAUGAUAACAUUAAGGAUGAUAUACUGGAGGGAAGGCUCGGGAGGCAACGGAGAUUAGGGCACCAGAGUUCAAGUGACUUGAGUUGGGGAAGGAGGCUUCUAAUAUCUGCCGGCAUGGUGGUCACAUACGGACAGCUCAAGUAAAAAGUUUCUAGUUUGCUUAAAUUUUCAAUCCACAGUGGCAUCGGAUUUUCCUCCACAGGCCCAUCAGAUUCUCCAUCAAAUUCUCCAUAAGAAUCACGUCGCACAAACCACAGCUUUAAUUCUUUUAAAUUAGCCAAGUUUGAGAGAUCUGGAAACAUAUCCAUGUACAGUUUAGACAACUCUAGAAUGAUUAGACUUUCAGGAAGCCUCGGUACUACGUGUAUUCUACCAUUACUCAAUCUCAAGAUCCUCAUGGAUCGAUUUCUGUAGGUGUGAUUGCCAAUUUCCACAUCAAAACCAUUGUCAAUGUGGGCUUCUAUUACUCCGAGCUUCACAACUUCUAUUACUUCGAGCUUCUCAAUCGUCCAAAAGGCAUCGGGUAUUUUGCUUAAGGCUUCACACCUUAUCUUCACUACUUUCAAAUUUUCCAACUGUCCAAUGGAAUUAGGUAGUUCUUUGAUCCUCCUACUAGAUAUAUUCAAAUUAAUCAGCGAUUUCAAUUUUCCAAUGGAAUCAGGUAGUUCUUCGAUCUCUGUGUAAAGUAUAUUCAACUUAUUCAACGAUUCCAAAUUUCCGAUUGUAUUCGGAAGCCUCUCCAAUGAAUAGCAAAAAUCUAGACCUAGGUAUUUGAGACUUGUAAGAUCUCUAGCCAACUCAUCUGGCAGCCGUUGAAGUUUCUCACAAAAACUUACAUCUAAGAAAACUAAGCUUUUCAAUCGACAAAUCGACACGUCAAUUUCAACUAAAUUUUUACAGGACAGCAAGAUCAAACGUUCUAAUUGUGAAUUGGCAGAAAAGUCGGGAGUUCUCUCCAAGCAAAGGCAACUAGUCAAUUCCAUAACCUUCAAAUUCUUCAUCACAUGUGAAAAGAAAAAUCAUGCAAAGAUUGCUUAGAGUAUAAUAAGAUGAAAUAAUAAGUGUUGUCUAGCAUAUAAAAUACCUUCAUGUGGCUCCACCCCUCCCAAUCAUGCGUAAUUUCACUACUUGAUAGAUCAAGAAUAACCACAUCCUCCAUGGAGAAAUUUGUAAUCUUAAAUGUUGGGGGAAUUUUAAAUCAAGAAAGCCAUCGUAAUUGUGGAAGAAGAUUUGGAUUCUCUCGAAAAACACCCAUUGGAAUAACAUUUGAUGGUGAUUCAUGCCACAGAAGCCUCUCUUCUACAGAAAAAUGUUCCUUCAAACCGUCAACUUGAAGAAACCUUAGAUUUGAUAUUCUUUCAAAGUCCUUAUGAGUGAAAUGAUGUUGCCGCUCAUGGUCAAAGUGAAGGCGAAGAGCUUGAGUGCGAAGAGCUUGAGCUUCAACUUCUUUUCUUCCCUGCCCAAAGGAAAAAUUUAAGAACAAAAAAGCUUAAGGGAAACGCUUCAAGAUCACCAUUUUAAGAGGUUGAGUUUGGUAUUACCAUUCAUCUAAUAUUAAAAGAGAAAAAAGAUUAAUUGAGUGGGUCACAAUGGUGCUAGAGAGCACUAAAAGUAACUACAUUUUUCAAAAAGAAAAUCUCCAUAAGUAAUUUGGAGAUUUGUUGCGUGGGGAAUUUACCUUAGAUCUCCUCAGCAAGUCCAAUGCUUCCUUGGGAUCCCACACCCUACUUUGCUCCUCUAUUUCCAUUUUACUUUCUCGACAAACUAUUUCUCUUCCGAGAUCUCUGAGUUGGUCAUGCAUCCAUACUCUAUUUGACUUUUCAAUCUUUAUCAAAGAUAUGUUUUGCAAAACUUCCAUGGCUUCUUCCGGAAAUUUAGAUUCGUCCCAAAAAUGAAUCAUAAUAUCCUUGUCAUAUCCAAUGAAAAAACAAGCUAUAUCAAGGAAUAUAUGUUGUUGUCGAACAUCUAAUGCAUCAUAGCUUAUUUUCAACUUACUCUGGACUGUCUCAUGAGGAACACUUUCCAACUUAUUCAACAUGAGAUCCCACUUUUUCUUCUCAGUGCGACCUAAAAGUGAACCUAAGACCUCAAGAGUAAGCGGAAGGCCUCCAGCUAUGCCUAUCGCCCUGCAGGAUUGGGGCAUAUACUCAUCUAAAGGAGAAUCUCUUCUGAAGGCAUGUUUGCUAAAUAGUUGAAGAGAUUGAUCCGGAUCCAUGCUGCUAACUUCAUACCUAUAGUCCACUUUGGGAGGAUAAAGAAUAUCUUUGUUUCUUGUAGUAAUAAUAAUUUUGCUCCCUUUGCCCAACCAAAUAGGCUUACCUACAAGUGCAUCAAUGUGAUUCUCUUCUUCCACAUCAUCAAGAAGAAGAAGGACUCUUUUAUUGGACAACCUGUCUUUAAUUGUUUGAGUUCCUUCGUCAAUGUCUUUUAUAUCAAUGCAUUUUGUUUUGAGGAUGUCAGAGAUGAGCUGAUUCUGCAAGCACUGAAUGCCACCUUUUGAUGUUUCUCGAAUAUCGCGAAGAAAGCAAUAAUUUUCGAAGUCUUGUAAAAGCUUAUUGUAGAUCAGUUUGGCGAUAGUCGUCUUUCCGAGGCCACCCAUCCCAUGGAUUCCUAUAAUCCGCGUUUCACUUGUCCCAACACCUAUCAUUUCCAUGAUUGUAUCUAUGUGGUUGUCAACACUGACCAAGUGCUUCGAUAUCACCACAUAAGCCUUUUUCAACUCCUUGAAAACCUCUGGGGUAGCUUUUCUUGCAAACUCACCUUCUUGCCUAGAGUUUGUUGGAGGCAAAAGACAAUGAGUUAGAAAUUUGCGUAAACAUUAAACUAAGUUCCGACAAGACCAAAUUGAAUUCGAAAUGUGUCACUUCAAGGAUUUAUUCCAUUGUAGAUGAAUUAGUGUUGGUACUUAAAUGAAGUGAACUAGAAAAAAUGUUGCUUUGAAUAAAAUGGGAAAAAUUUGGGCUUGUGCUAUUACUUAGCGUGAUUUCUACAAUAUAACUUCAGAAACAUGGAAUUCAAUUUCAACAAGGCUAACUCAACAAAAAAAAAAAAGAAAAGAAGAAACCAUAUGAAAUGCAGCAAGUUUUGUCACACCCCAAUUCUCGGUCACGUGCCCAUCCUUAUUUUAUCUGGUCGAUUUUAAACUUGCGAUAUCCCAGGACUACGUAUCGCCGACCCUUUCAUUUAUUAAGCACAUGCGGAAGCAGUUAUUAAUCCCCAGACAACAAAACAAUGGGAUAGAAAAGUAGGGCCAUAAUUUCCAUACUGAAAUUCACAACCACUAUUUUACACAAAGCACCUCAUAAUAUAUAAUGUAAUACUAUUCACAGGGGUCUAAUCUAACACUUCUCCAUAUAUAAUCAAGGUCUGACAAAACAAGAUGGGAUCUUAGUCCUCAUUCGGGUCGUACUCAGGAUCCUCCUCGUGGUCAUCUUCUUCUCCAAAAUGUUCCUCCUCAUUUGGUUCCACAUCAGGGUUCUCCUCUUCAGGUUCCUUCUCCUCAGGCUCCUCAUCAGGGUCCUGAAAUGAUUAUUCAAUAACCAUUGAGACCACAUCUCAGCAAGUUCUACCCCCUAAGACUCGAUUAGUAAACUAAUACACCUUAGGGCUGCCUACGCAAAACACGAGUCAGAGGACUUACCUGGGCCUCAGAUUCCACCUGCAUAUUAGCACAGAUCAAAUAGGCACCCAAGCAAUCACAUCACAGAUCGAAGCAUCGAUCUAAUCGACUUAACCGAUUACACACCAAAAACACCAUCCAUGGCCAUCUCCAUUCCAUCAUUCAAUUCGCAACAUCAAAUCAAGGCAAAGAUCAAUCACAUUAAAUCACACUCAGAUCGAAUCAUCAAUCAAUCGACCUAGUCGAUUACAUGUCAAUCAGACCAUCUCAUGGUCAUUUCCAAUCAAUCGGUCCAUUCACAACAUCAGAUCAAGCAAUGAUCAAUCGACCUAGUCGAUUACAUGUCAUCACGACCCAUGCUUGGUCGGCACAUUCAAUACUAUCUAUACGUCCGACCAUAGUCCAGGACUGCUCACUCUAAGCUGAUAUAUAGAUAGUAUAGCUCGCACUAAGCUGAUAGGGUUAAGGUAUACUACUCUCGCUAAGCUGACAUAUCGCCCGUAGGCUGAUAUAAUAUACCGGUAUACUGCUCUCGCUAAGCUGACAUAUCGCUUGCAGGCUGAUAUAGUAUACCCCCGAUGCUCACACUGAGCUGAUAAAGUGUACUGCUCGCGCUAAGCUGACAUAUCGCCCGUAGGCUGAUAUAGUACACCAGUAUACUGCUCUCGCUAAGCUGACAUAUCAGAGCCCGUAGGAUGAUAUAGUAUACUAUCCGACCAUUCAAUCCAUUCCAUCUUUUAUCCUUCUCGAUAAAAUAGCCGUGUGUGGGGACACGGUUGGGCUUAGCCAAAAUAUAAUAUUUUCCUUUCCAUAACUCCCACAUUUUCUAUAGUCCACUCAAAUAAUUUUGGCAUUAUUAAUCGAUGCCCGGUUAUUUUUCAAUUAAUAACCAAUGAUCAUCCAAUUAAAGAAUGAUUCCCUCUUUCACAAAUAAUUCAAUUCAGCAUGAAAUAGAGCUCAAUUAAAUAAACAGACUGCACCACGAUCAUCAGCAUAAAAUUCCGGUCGCUGGCCAUCCCAGUUGAAUUUCCGGGAAAUAAAUAAUUAAAUAAUUAAUUUCGAAAAAUAAAUAAAUAAAUACAAUAAAUUCAAUUUAGCACAAUAUAAAGCUCAAUUAAAUAAAUGGACUGCACCACGAUCAUCAGCAUAAAAUUCCGGUCGUCGGCUAUCCUUGCCUAAUUUCCGGAAAAUAAAUAAUUUAUUAAAUUAAUUUCGAAAAUUAAUAAUUAAAUACUAAAAAUCCAAUUUAGGCCCAUAAUGCCUAAUUGGACGCCAGAACGGAUCGGGAAAAAUCCCGAGAUGCAUUCAAUAAAUAGAAGUACGUCUCUACUUGCUAAUAACUAAGUCUAACCACCUAACAUGCAUCAUUAAGUCACUAAUCUAAUUGUCCUAAACUAAUCUAACCACCUAAUUGCACUUAAUUAAAUCUAACCAACCCUUAAGCAUAAUUAGCAAACUAAGAAAGCAUUAGUGAGUAAAACUCACUUGGUAAAAGCGGAGACUGAAUCACCACGAUGGCAACGCGACAACAGCCGAAACUCCAGUUUUCGGCGAUAUCGACGGGCACACGGACCGGGCCUAAAAGCCUCGCAAGCCCACAGAAAAUUCUGGGCUUGGACUGAACUUGGGCCUGAGCUUGGGUUGACUUGCUUAGCGGGCUUGGGCUUCAAGAUUGGGCUGCUGAAUUGGGCCUCAAAUUACUGGGCUGAUCUUGCUUUAAAGAAACUGUUGGGCUGAUUUCUUGAGGGCCUGACUUUGCUUGGGCUUCAAAUGGCGUGGGCUCAAUGAAGCUGCUGUUCACUUGGGCUGCGACAAUUUCGUGUGGGCUGCUGUACGCUUGUCUUCGGAUGAGAUGGACUCGGACGAGAUGACCGAUCGAAGAAGCAGCAAAGGCUGCUGUUGGGCCACGAAAACUAAAGACCAACGUUACUGGAGAAGGCAGUUUUGCUGGCAGAUUGCUUCGGCAAGGAAAUCCACGGAUGCGGGGUCAACGGCGAGGAAAGCAGCUGGAUUCUUGACCGCGUGGAGUGAAGAUCGGUGGGGGAGAGAGAGACGUGCACAGAGACGAGCGGAGGUGGGAGCUUCGAGCGGUUUGCUGGUCAACAACCGACAGCUUCGGUGAACUUCUUUCGUUGAAAUAAGCUUGACCGAACAAGCUGGAUGGACUUCGGCUUCGCUGACAGCUUCAAGGAAUUUCGGUGGAGAGACAGCAAGAGGGGGAGAGAGAUCACGGGGCUGUGGUCUUCGAUGAUGCUGGGCCGGGAGACGCGGACGAAGGAAGUAGCAGCUACGGUCUAUGUUGCUGGAGUCAACACUCGAACAUGGGGUUUAACUGGUGUUGACUGUGGGGACGCAUGGCUGUAAGAUGGAGGGGUCUGCAAACCGAAGUCAGCUUCGGUUGAGUUGGGGUUGCUUCAGCGGCUCGUCUUCAUGAAGUUGGAUGAAGAUACGUCGAAGAAAAAGAACAAAAAGGGGCAGAAGGUUUCGGUAGAGAUGGCGGUUCUUUGCAAAGAGGAGUGAAAGCGAAGCAGAACCGCAAAGAUGGAGAGGGAAUGAUCGUGGAACCGCUGUUUGCUUUGACGAGAUGAAAAGAAAAGUGAGGCAAAAGCAGGAGACGUCGCACAAAUGGAGGGAGGCGGUGGACAGGCGUGCGAUGGAAGGAAGCCAGCUAAGAUGAAAUAAAAAUCCUCAAUCCUUAGCCAAUACAUUAAUACCUUGGCCCCACAAGCCCACAAUGUUAUCCUCUUUGUCCCCUCCCCCCACAUCACUGUCAAGCUUAUUAACUCCCAAAUAAACCAAUUUAAAGUCCAAAAUUGCUGCCCUCAUCCUAUCAUACGAAUUUCACAACUUGAGAUUCAAAUCUUCAUGAAAUUUCUCAAAUCGACGUCCAAUUUCAUCGUGGAAAAAGCCCAUAGAAUUUAUACAAAUCCCUAUCAGCACAUAGCCCAGUAUGGAAGUCCAAAUUUCUUUCAAAUGAGUCCAUCCGAAUUUCCGAUAAUUUUCCGCGACGUCCGAUUCGAUUUUUCCGUAAAAAUCUCAGAAUCUUCGAAAAAUCUUCUGAGACUGAAUCAACGUUCCUAAAAUAGCUCGUGACACCACAGAACUUUCAAUUUUUGAAAUCGGGUUCGAAUUCACAGUUAAUUUCCAUUCGGCGCGUUUUUAGCGUGACCUAGACUACCGGCUAACUUUCAGAACUUUUCAAUGCAAAUGACCCGUGGUCGAUUUUCUUCAAGCCACAAUGAACCCACUCGACUCAUUGGCGACUUUCGAUUGUCGUGAAAAUCUCGAGAAUUCAAGUACGGACACAGGGUACCAAAACGAUAAAAAAACUCAGUCUAGUGUUGAUCGACGAGAAUUUUCCAAUUUAGUGGUGUCACCCACGAUUAGCCACACAUCUCAAUCGAACCAACCUGUAUCUGAUCUCAAAUCGAUUCAUAUCUAUGCCGUAAUGGUCUCGACAGAUGAGCACGGUCGAGGAGUCGAUUCAUGGUCGAAUUCUCAAGUCUAUUUGCCUUAAAAUUCUUAAUGGCUUCCCCAGAUAGUCUAGUUAUCUCAAGAGUGAUUAGCUUUGAGAACAGCCCUAUAGGCGCGUCAAUGAAAUGCCCGAUUUAUUCAGCAGAAAACAGGAUCGAAAAUCUGGGAUGUUACAAGUUUUAAUGAUCCAAGGUAGAUGAGAUGGAAUUUUAAAAGAAGUCACCUCUUGGACAUGCUUUGCAGGUCCCAUCCGUUUAUUCCUGCGACUGCAUUGAGAGCAUCCUUCCACUCUUGAAUAGUCUUUUCAUCAUGUCGCUUCUUGUUUUUAUGUGAAGAAAAGGCCUUUUCAUAAUCCUCAGUUUGGUGUCGAACCUCUUGAGGUGCCACAUCAUAAAAAAUGGGCAUGAUCUUUUGUCUUCCAGCUUUUUGGCACGCGACCAUCUGGACUAGCUCCUUGAGACACCAUACGCUAGAGGUGUAACCUUUCGAAAAGAUAGGUAUUGAGAUCUUCGAUUGAUUAAUUGCUUGGAGAAGUUCUGGGGCAAACUCUUCGCCAAUGCGGAGCUCUUCAUCAUCCCUAAAUGUGCGGAUUCCCAUGUCUUUAAGACUAGUGUAAAGGAAGUCGGUAAAACCUACUCGAGUAUCUGGUCCUCUGAAGCUCAAGAAUUCUUCGUAAUCAUAUUAUGAUGAAGUAGCCAUUUCAUGAUCUUCUGUUGAAGUGUGAGUAGAAGAAGCGCCUCCCGCUAUUCCCUCAUUUUCACAGAUGCGUCUUUUUUUGGCCCUUUCCUUCAUUGAUCUCACUUGAUCUUCUCUUUGAGAAAAAAAAAAUUUGAAAAGUACAGCAGCAGAAGUAGUGACAGCUAGAGAUGGAAAAAGUUUAGAAGCAAGAACUACAAAUGGAAAUCUCUGUAGGUCAUUAAACUCAGAAGACAGGAUUGGCUAAAUAUGCAGAGGUCUAGGGCUAGUUUGCUAGAAUUGGUCAAUAAGAACGGUUCAUUACAGCCUGUCAAAGUUGACGAAUGCAGGUUUUUUUAAAACCAAAGUGGCCCCUCCCCGCUCAAUUCUUCUCUUUUAUCGACCGUCAUGACGCAAUUGAAAAAGGAAAGACACAACUGCGGGGCAGAUAAACUAGUGGAAUUCUAAAAAGAGGGGAGUAAUCGAGUGCUUUCGGUGGCUAAAAUAAAAUAUUAAAAAGAUGGGAGCAAUCAGAGUGCUUUCGUUUGUUAUUCCUUUGAAUUUUAAUAAUCCUUGUCUCCGUGGAGUUUCUGACCACAUUGUGUCGCGAUGAAUGCCCCACGCACUUGCCCUCUGCGCGUCCUUGCUUGUACAUAAUUAUAGUGUCACUUUUGGGAUUUGGGCGUCGAGCCGGGGCUAUUUUAGGGAAAAGAGCCUCCCGUCGGGUCGCAUAAGUUGUUCCUGUGCCUGAUCCGCACACGCACACGAACUCGCACACCACAAAUGGCCAAAGCCGCGUUAUUUUCUGGAAUCCGUUGAUCAUCAUCAUCCGGAUUUGUAUUUUGCUCCUGCCAAAUUACUCCAAUGCCCUCGUGGCCAGAAGCUAAUUUUUUUUUUUUAACGGUAAAGUCGGUUGAGCAUGUAAUUAAUGGCAUAAAUUUUGAUUGAUUUCCAUGUUACUUGGUGUAGUUGUUUUUUAACACGUAAUGCAUAAAAUGGCUUCAUUAGGAGGGAUUCUUUCAAGUUUUUCCAACAACUAAUGUGAAGUAUCUUUCCAAUAGAGCUCAAGGGCAUUGAGCAGUUGCACAAUCAAAUCAUUAUGCAUGUUCUCAAAAGGAAAUCGACAGAAAUAAGUAAUAUUUAUAUUAUUAUAAUUUAAUUGCAAUGAUUGAGAGUCCGUUCUAUCUAGGGAAGAAUGGAUACAAAACAUCAUCUUCCUAUACAAUUAAUCUAUCAAAAGUAGAACAGGCACAUUUCAACAUUGUUAGGCAUCUCUAACAAUGAUGUGAAAAUUUGAAUGAUUCUUAAAAAUGUAAUAGCUCUAGGCUCCGAGCUCAUAAACUACGAUUAGGGGAAAAAAGAAGACUCCUCUCAUGUCUAAGCACGCAAAUUGGUUCUUUUCUAUGUUGGUCCUAGAGAUGUGGCCCUCCACUUUCUAAUAGAUAGACCGUCUUAAAGUCUUUGCCAAGGACUUGCAAACAUUGUGAGACAUUGUGAGACCUAGUCUAUUGAUAUUCUGAGUUCAAAACAAAACUUUAUACUUUUUCAUUUGAUGUGUUAAAAUAAACAUGAAGUGUCAAUAUUCUAGUCAUUCUUUCAAGUUUAGCUCGACAUUUAAAUUGCAUUUGAAUAAGUGCAUUUGUGGAAGUACUUUGCGUUUAGCUUCCAUGACUUUGUCAUUUUGAUUUCUUCCCCUUAUGUGAUUCGAUGAUCCCUUUGUUAGAAUUGGUCAUUAAGAAUGAUUCAAUGCAACAUCACUCUAGCCUGUCAAAGUUGACAAUGCUAAUUUUUAACAAAAACCAAGAAAAUAUUCAAACAAAACACGUCGAAGUUUAAUAAAGCAAGGCACAUUGGAUAUAAUGCUUAGUCACCUGUUCAGCAUGCUUCGAAAGUCCCAGAGAUUAAUAAGUUAAGAAGCUAGAAUUAUAAAUAGAGAUGUCUGCAAGUCACAAAACUCAGAAGCCAGAAUUGGCUAAAUAUGCAGAGAGCCAUGUGCAAGUUUGCGAGAAUCGGUCAAGGUGAAUGAUCCACCGUGACAUCUCUGCACCGUUUCAAAGUUGACAAUGCACUUUAGUUUAACAUAUAAUGCAUAAGAUAUGGUUCACUAGCGGUUUCGUGGAUGCUUUCGUUUUUUAUUUCUUUUGCCGGCUCAAUCACGGUGGUUGAAAAUUCACUUUUGACCAAUCAAAAUACUAGGAUGGGCCCACAGCAAAUCAUCAGGCAUUUCUUAAAAUGAGGUCUCCAUCGCACAAAGUCAACACUUUAAAAUAGUACUAAGAGAAGGUUGCGAGCUCAUAGACUUUGCUGAUUAAAAUAAUGUUGCUUUCUCCAGGAUCUCAAGUACGAAAGUUCUCUGUUUCGGAUGAAGUUUUCAGAGGCGUGGCUCUUCACCCUCUCAGCUAAUGCUUGCAGAUUAUCUCAUAUAAUAGAUCAAAAAAGGGGCAAAAAGACAAGAACUUGCAGACAACACAGGACCAUUGCAUGGUAAAUCUCCAGACUUGGAUGAAAUUUUGCCGAACUUGUAUUCAUCUCAAAUUAAAUGAUAUGCAUAUUAUUUCAGAUUUAGCUCGACAUUAGAUGACGUUGGACUAAGUCCAUUGGCAGCUGGAAACAUUCCUGAAUUCAAUUAAGAAUUGGUAGAGCUUCACUUCAAUACCCGUGGAUCCAAUUAACAACCGUGGUUUUCCGCAGAAACAAUCCGGACACGCAUUUUGAUAAAAUUUGAACAACAAUUAGCAAAAUCCUGAAAAAGCUGAUUGUGGAUGAUUUUUGCGAGAGUUAUUUUUCCAACACCACCAUACUCAUAAUUUUGUUCAUGCGAUUGUCAAUUCCAGCAAAGCAUUUGGAUACUAUCAAAUGAGCCGUUUUCAACUCACUGAAAGCUUGCUUGGCCCCCUUUCUCUAAAACUCUCCUUCGUUACUGAUAUUAUUGGAGGUAGUAGUCGAAGGAAUUAGAAACUCACAUCGAACCAAACUAUGCUCAGGAAAAAAAACCCAUACAAAAUACCGCAAUAAACUAUUGCGAAUUGAUUCUUUCAAGUUUUCUACUUAAUUUCUAGAUGGAUUGAUGGUGUCAAAUGUUAGUGAAAACAACUUGAAUUGAAUGACGUUGUUUAUAGAUGGAUUCUUUCAAGAUUUAUAAUUUAUACAUGGAUUAAUUGUAUCAAAUGUAAUUGAAAACGACUAAAUUGAAUGAAGUUGUUUAUAGAUAGAUUCUCAUGGAGUACAAGACCCUAUUAAUUCAGACAAUUGCUAUGAUUUAUUCACAUUUUGGGAUUUUGGGGAUGAAAGGAUCCAUUUGCUUUUCCCUACGACCUUAUCCCGCACCACAUAAACAUCUCUAUAAACUGUCCCUAGAUCUAAUAGGACAUGACGUCCGUUGUUCUGUCGAUUAGAUAUAUUGAUGUAAUUUGCCAUAAUGUUAGCAAUUUACGACCAUCAGUGAAUACCAAUAGGGUUUUAUGUUUACUACUCAAUGCCAAAUCUAGUAGUGAGAUGGUAAAAUCAUUAUUCCAUUUAUAACGCAUUAACGGCUAACCAGAUUAAUAAAUGUCGCUACUCGCAAAACCAAAGUAAUUUUAUAAUGUCGUAUGGGCUUAAUGUGCUAGUGAAAUAAUAAGCUUGGACUCUUCCAUGUUUUUCAACACCUAAUGCUUUUAAUGAUGUCCAUCUGUGAUUCCAAGAUACUUUCUUGAUUUCCUUUGCUAACCCUAAUCGCAGUGGUUGAGAGACUCCAUAUAAUCCAUCAAAAUAUCUGGACAGUCCUAGAUAAAAAAUUGUUAGCCAUCUCCUUCAAACGAUUGUUUGAAAGAAAAGCAUUAGGACAAGGCUCUAAGGUUGGAGAAAGAGAGGUUGGAUUUGAAAGCAAGAUGGUCUCAGAAAACGGCACUUGCUGCGAGGGGCAUUUUACGACGUCUCCUCCCCGUGUUCUCUCCUCUUGCUUUCGAGACGGGCCUGGCGCGCUGGGGUCAUCUGAAAGCCCAUCUGAAAGCCCAUACGAGUCUGCAACCUGCGUGAAUGGCUGGACAUCGCUCGAACGAAACCCAACAUGCCACGUGUCGGGCCAAGGAACGUGGAGAGACGAUUCAAAAUGUGAGAUAGCAUCCUCAGUCCCCUUCUUUUCUUCGUUUUGGAGGGGUGAAAUGGCACGACGAGAAGAUGUGUCCCUCAAGUCUAUGGCAAUCCAAGUACUUACAGAGGGUUCUUUUUAGCAUCUCUCGUAAGCAAAUCAUACACUUUCAAUAAUGUAGGAACUCAUUUCCAUUAGAUAUAUAGAUUGAAAUGUAUAAAUACUCGUGCUAAUCUCAUGAACUAAUGUAUUGUUGAAUUCAAAGUGAGGCAUACUAAUCCGUGCUAUGAAGUUCCGAGGUAUUUUGCCCCAAAAAGAAGAAAACAAAGAAGGGGCUUUGUGAGUUGGCCUUAGUUAGCUAGUGCCAAAGGGACUAAGGGCCCGUUUGGUUCAGUUUUGGGGAAAUGCCCUUGGGAGAAUGCAAAUACCUUUGAAAUAAAGAGGUUUUCCAAAAUGCUAGACUAUUUGGUAAACUAAAACUGAAAAGUGCUUUAGGGAAAUACAAAACUGUUUGGUAAACUUGUAUUUGAAAAGCCCUUUUGGUGUGACCAAAUUAAGUGUUUUAAUUUUAGUAUUUUUAAAAUUGCAAAAAAGAAACAAUGAGUAUAUAACACAUUUUCAUGAUGAGAGUAAUAUAAAAGAUACAUAUUAGUAAUUUUAUUUAAAAAUUAUAUUAAAAGAAUUUGAUUAUAGAUUAAAUGCAAAGCUUAACUUUUAGCCUAAGGUUCUUUUAGGUUUGUUUUUAACUUUGAUUUUUUUAAUUAUUGUAUUAUUAAUCAUCUUCAUUAAUUAAUGAUCAUUCUAGUAUAUUGAUAAAAAGUUGGGCUAUUGAUUGUCAAAAGAUAAAAAUGAUAUAAAAAUAAAAGUGAACUUAUUCGGUGGAUGGUGAAGUGACCGAUUCUAGAUGUUAAUUUUUUUUUAGUAAGCACCGCAUAUAAAAAGGGAGGUCUUAAUUAAGAGAAAUAAAACCAAGUUCCUCUCAUACAAAUUUGACAAGAAAGAGUCAUUUCAUGAUAGUAAACAUGGUCAUAUAUGUCCGGAAAAAAGAAAUACGUUAUACUUAGUAUUACAAACCUCAAUGACUUUGUAAACUUAUGACUAUUUCAUCAUGUAAAAGUGCAAUGUCCGGAGAUGCAUACGAAUUUGAAGCACCCACCCCUUCAUUUGCAUCAUCAUGGUCAACUGAAUAUCCAUAAUCAGGAUCCAAUUCUGCUUUUUCAAAAUCCAUAUCAGUCACGUUAUUUCUCCGUAUAUAAUUGUGUAAAGUUAUUGCCGCUACCACAAUUUGCACUUGCUUUUCAUAUGGAUAACUUGGCAUAUGAGUUAAAAUCCUCCACUUCUGUUUUAAUACACCAAAGGCCUGCUCAAUUAUCGAGCGUAGCGAGGAAUAGGCACAGUUGCACACUUCUUGAUAUCUUGUAGGUGAAGGACCUUCUUGAAACUCUAGCAAAUGAUAUCUAACUUCUUUAUAUUGCCCCAAAUAACCAGUUGGAUUUGGAUAUCCAGCAUCUACUAAGUAAUAUUUACCUACAUAAAUUUAAUCAACAUAUGCCAAUUAGAUAUAUUGAUGUAUCUAAACCAUUAACUAACAUACUUGGAGGAGGAUGGGGAAAAUUUGCGUCACGUCUUCCAAUAGCUUCAUAAAAGAUACAGAUAUCAUGAGCUUAUCCCUCCCAACCGGCCCAAACAUAGACAAAUUCCAUAUUAAAAUUACAUAUGGCUAACACGUUUUGAGUUGUUCCUUUUCGACCAAUAAAACGAAUUUGAUCAUACUUAGGUACAACCGCUGUAAUAUGUGUACCGUCAAUAGCUCCAAUGCAAUCCUCAAAAUAUGGAUAAAAUCGUCGAUCUUUCUUGAUCUUCUCUGGAACUUUUCUAUAUUGUGGAUCAAUUGGUUGGAUCAAAUAUUUUCCCAUAUCACAUUCUUUAUCUAAAACUAAGUUGAAGUGCCUACUUAUGGUUUCCCCAGAGCGUUGAAAACGCUCUUGUGCUAAUCUAUUACCUAUACCAUGUCCUAAAAUAUGAAGAAACAUACCAAUCAUUUCUCUAACAUCAGUAUUCCUAAAUCCUUAAAUGCCAUAACGUGUUACUAAAUCAUGCAUUAAAUUGUCAAAUACAAUCUUAUGCAUUCUAAACAUAUUGUAGCACCUUAUCGGAUUAGCAUCUUCGCUAAUCAACUCUUUUAACCAUACAUAACCUGUAUAUAUUGAGGUCAUGCAAGGUUGUUUGCAAAGGUUGGUCGCUUGAUAAAGAAUUGCAGCUUGAGUGAUUGAGAUAAGAUCCCAUAAUUCAUUAUCCUCUUGCUCAUGAUUUUCCCUUGUAUGCAAAUCAUCCAUAACUGCUUCAAGUAACAAAAUAUAAAAAGAAACAGUGUAUUAACCAUCGCAUAAAUCAUCCAUAACUGUUUCAAGUAACAAAAUAUAAAGAUAAACAAUAUAUUAACCAUCGCAUAUAUGCAAACUAUCACAUUAAGAGAACACCAAAUGAAAACAAUUCUAACAUCAAACAUUAAUUGAAAUUAGGUUCACAAAUGCUGCAAAUAAAGAUCCAUAGAUGGAAACAAAGUGGAAUGACUAAAGCUUUAAACAUGAAAACAAUAAGAUGCUAACAUCCUCCUAUCUACGAAGACUUGAUUCUUUUCUCAUCUCAUAUUUGAGAUACUUUAUUUUCUUUGCAUCAUCCUUUAAGUUCAUGAAAACUUGCUUAUUGUCUAUCUUUUCCUUUAAAUGAGAAAUUGAAAAAAAGUACAAGUCUUCGUCUUCCACAAUCUCAGGUAUGGAAUCCAAUAUCUCUAUGAGGUCCUCAUAACGACCGACUAAACUGGUUGCAUUGGAUGCAGCACUAGCAGUGCUCUUACUCUCAAUAACUGUAAGCAGCUUGUUAAUUUGUGUUCUGAGCUUCUCUCUUGUGCUCAAUUUCUUAUCUUUCUUUCCUCAAGCUUGCAUCUUUGAAAUCUGUGUGGCUCUCUUACGAGUUUGAGUUCUAGUUGGUUCAUCCACAUGAUCCUCCAAGUUUUCAUCAGUAGACCCUACAACAUCAUCGAUACCAGGUUGUGUGGUCUCCACAUCAUUAUCAACACAUAAACCUUGUCCAGGAUUCCAUGUAAUUCCUCCAGUAGCAAUUGUAUCUCUAAACAUCAUAUCUAACUUUACUUUAAGAUUAUGAUGUAUGCAUUUCAUCCUAAAAGCUUUAAACUUUGGAUUAGCCUUUUAUAAUGAAGCAUUUGCAUAAGUUCUAUUAUUAAAGGUGAGCUUAACAUGAAAAAAAAAAAAAGAAUUGAGGAAAACCUAAAUUUUACGCUCCCAUUAUUCGUCACUCACAUCAAUGGUUCUCUUCCUUGAAUCACAUCCUAAUCCAGUUUCUUUAUAAAGUAAUGACCUCCAUCUUUUCCAUUCUUCCUUGAGGUUAUCCCACUUACUAUUCAUUUUUUGUUUAUCAUAUUUUUUGCUCGUUAGCUCUUCAAACUUACUAAUUAUGACUAUCCAUCAAUCUCUUUUGUUGUUUGCAGAACGAUUGCCUUUUUCAGUUUGUUCGAUGCACAAAUUACAAAAGAUUUCUACAUCUUCCGAGCUCCAAAAUGCCUUUUCCUUUGAUGAACUCAUCUACUAGUAAAGUAACAUGAACAAAUUUAAGAGAUGAACAAACAAGAUCAACCACUCAAGCCCUCUCUUAUUAAAAAACUAGAAGAUAUUCACUUAAAGAAAAGAAAACUAACAUUGAGAAAAAAUAAAGACACGCAAAAAGAUUGUACUUGCAUAAAAAAAAUCAUUGAUUAUACUAGGUCAUCCAAAACCUAAAACAACAGUGAAUGUGCAAACUAAACAUAUCCAUCAUUGGGCAAAGAUAGGCUUAAACACCGCAUGAGACAAUUACAUGAUAAACAUGGCUCAUCAUUAAAAAAGUAAACUCAUGCCACCUUGGCAAUGAUGAGUAUUUCUUAAUAAUCAGAAUCGCGCAACAUAGAUUCACCAUCUAAGUAACCCAUUUGUUUGUCCAUCCUGGUCAUUCGAUAUAUUAUCACAAAGACAAAUAUGAAAACCCCACAGUAUGCAAAAGUUUAUUCUACUUUAUCUUCCAGACAAUAGUUUAUAUAUAAGGCAUCGAUAGCCACAAUGAAGAACCUCGAAAAAGUUAAGACCAGCCUAUAAUCACUCUCAUGCUUGCAGCUGCUUCAAUAGUAAAGUGCAGAAGAGCAAAAAAAAAAAACAUAAAAGUUGGGCAUGCAGGACAUUGGAGUGACCAAAUCACAAGGAACAAUGAGUACAAUUAACAUAGCAAGCGAACAGGAUAGAAGAAAAGUGAUGUCAAAUUAUUACAACAACAGGACAAUCAAUUUCAAAAGCCAUAAGUGCUGGUCAUGCAUGAAAAAAGAAAGGCAGAAACUUGAAAUGUUCCCAUUCUUGAUCUAAGAAUGUGCAAAGUGCAGUCAAAGCAAUGUCAGGAGGCCAUAUAGCUCAUGGUUUAUCAAUUUUCACUUCUACUCACUGUUAAUAUUUUCUCCAAUUCCUAGCAGCACGUAUUUCCAGAACGACCUACAAGUUUUUCCCUCACAAAGUUGAUAUAAUCAACUACACAUAAACUCCCAAUUGCCAACCCUUGGCAUGUUUCACAGAUCGCUUCAGAUAGCUUCGCACAGACAUUCAGAAACCAGUCUAUAGGAACGAUUACCCCGUCCAUCUUCCUACUAAGUUCUAAUCCAAAGUUGGCCACAAUAAAUAAGAUUAUUAGGUAGUUAAUUGAAUUCCUGACCAAUCAUCUCCAAGAAACACUCAGCCAUUAACAAGAUCCUCAAAGGAGCUACUAUUUGCAGUAAUUUGGCACGAAUCGACCAAUUUGAGACUCCCCUUUGUCUCGAAUCCUCAUACAAGAAAGCAAAAAAAAAAAAAAAGAGAACAACUACGACCAUUUUCUUUUCUCAACGAUUACAAGGUGCCCUCAUCUCACACUGACCUCAACCAUCUACAGUCUUUCUUGAAUACCCUACAAAUUAUAGGGGCGCCGAACCAAAACCAAACAAGAUUACGACCCAAAAAGGGAAAAAAAGGAGAGGAGGGCAAAGGAUCGAACCCAAGAAGAUAAAUUCAAACCACAAUCAAACACAGGACUCAAAACCCAUCAUCAAAGCCCUAGAACCCCAAAUCUUGCCUCGUUCGAGAACGAAUUCUAGAGACAAUCAUCAACGAAACCGAGCAAUACCCUUGACAGAACAGAAGAGAGAGAGAGAGAGAGAGAGAGAGAAAGAAGUGCCUGUAGAAGGGAAGUGGAAGGACAGGAGAGUACCUGGCCAGAGGGAGCAGUGAGCGAAGUGGAGUGAAGAGAAACCGAAGCACGCCGAAGAAGAGGAAGAGAGCUCCGUCGAGGUAACGAGAGUUUACAAGGAUCCAAAACUGAGAACGACCGUUGUCGACGAGUUGCAAGGAGAGAGAGAGAGAGAGAGAGACAGAAAAGAAAGCCGUCGAGUUGCAUGGAAAGAGAGCGACGAGGAAGAGAGCGUUGCGUGAGAGAGCGUCGCGUGAGAAAAUCCUCGAAAGAGUUACGGUUUGUUUUGUAUAGGAUAAAUGGUGCGUUUGGUUCGGCAUUUGGAAAGCUCAUUGGGAAAAUGCAAAACAGGUUGGCCUAAAGGGCUUUGAAUGAAAUGUAAAGACUGUUUGGUAAAUUAUGCUUUGAAAAGCAACUUUGAAAGAAAUGUUGUUUGGUAGAAAACACAUUUGAAAAGCUCAUUUCGUGAAUAAUCUAAAUAUUUUAUUUUUUAUUUGUUUAAAAUUAAAAAAAUAAUGUUUACAACUUUUUUAAUUUAUAUUUGACAACAAUGUUAAAGAUGUUGUGUAAACGAUUUUAUUAAAAUUAAAAUUCUUUUUUUUUUUGCUAAAUAAUAUCAAAUGGAAAAAAUUUACGUGCUCUCUUUCUCAAUUACAAUAAGAAUAUUUUCAUUACAAUAAAACCAUGAUAACAUAUGCUUUGAGGAAAGAAGCUCAUUAUCCUUAAAAAUUACAAAUAUCCUUAAUUACUUCGUAAAUUCAUAGCUAUUUGAUCACGUAAGCGUGCCAUAUCAGAUGCUACAUCAUCAUUUGCAGCAUUACCCUCCCCAUUUACAUCAUCAGGAUCCGUUGUAUAUAAAUUGGGAUCCAAAUCUUCUCUAGCAAAAUGUGUAUCAUUCAAUGCAUUUCUUCGUAUAUAAUUGUGCAAAGUCAUCGUUGCUAUCACAAUUUUCACUUGCUUUGUAUAUGAAUAACUUGGCAUACUCUUUAAAAAUCUUCCACUUCUUCUUCAAUAUGCCAAAAGCUGGCUCAAUUUUUUAUCGUAGUGAAGAGUGAGCACGAUUGAACACUUCUUUAUAACCUAUCGGUUGAGGACCUCGUUGAAACUCAGGUAAAUGAUAUCUAACUUCUUUAUAUGGCCCCAAAUAACACGUGGGAUUUGGAUAUCCAGCAUCAACCAAAUAAUAUUUACCUACACAAAAAAGUUGUAAAUUUAAUUAACAUAUAACACAUACAUAUAUUAAUGCAUAAAAACCAUUAAUUAACAAACCUUUUGGAGGAUGAGGAAAUUGCAAAUCAUGUCUCCUAAUAGCUUCAUAAAAUAUACGAGUAUCAUGAGCUGUUCCCUCCCAACCGACCCACACAUAAGUAAAUUCCAUGUUAAAAUUACACACGACCAUCACAUUUUGCGUCGGUGUUCCUUUUCGACCAAUAAAACGAAGCUGCUCACUCAUAGGUACCACCGCUGAAAUAUGAAUACCAUCUAUAGCUCCAAUACAAUCCUAAAACAAGAAGAAGAAUAUUAUUUGAUUUAUAUUUAAUUCAUAUUUUCUACUAUAUAAUCAUAACUUACCUUAAAAUGUGGAAAAAAUCUUGUAAUAUUCCUGAUCUUCUUUGGAACUUCCUUGAAUUGUCGAUCGGAUGGUUGGAUCAAAUAUGCUCCCAUUUCACAUACUUUAUCCAAAACUAAGCUAAAUAGCCUGGAUAUGGUUUCCCCAGAAUGCUGAAAGCACUCUUGAACCUAUUACUUAUGUUAUGUCCUAAAAUAUGAAGAAACAAUCCUACCAUUUCUGCAACAUCAAUAUUUCUAGUUUCUUGCAAACCAUAUCGUGUCACUAAAUCAUUCAUUAAAUUCUUAAACACAAUUCUAUCCAUUCUAAACAUUCGAUAAAACCUUUCAGGAUUAGCAUCUAUGUCCAUCGACUCUCUUAACCAUGCAUUUCCUGUAUAUGAUGAGGUCAUGCACGGUAUUUUUUGACCAUAUAUUGCCUGAUAAACACUGACACCGCAAGUAUGUGCAGCUGCACAAAGUUGCCAAUAUUCUUCUUCAUCUUUUUCAUGGUUUUCUCUUUCAAAAGAGUCAUCCAUAACUGAUCAAAAUAACAAAAUAGAAUUAGAAUAAGAGAUAUAAUGAAUUAUUUAGAUCAUUCAUCAACAAAAAACACUUAUCACAUAUAUAUGCAAACUACAUUCGAUAAAAAGAACACUAAUUAAAAACAAGUCUGAUAACAUAGCAUAAAUAUGUCUCACCAACUAAUACAAAUAAGUAGUGUAAAUAUGUAUUACAUUACAAUAAUAUUACACAUGAAAAAUAUAAAUAGCAAAUAUCCUAAUGAGCCCUACGUUGUGCAAACUUAUACUUGAGCCAUAUGACUUUUUCUUGAUCAUCAUCUAAGUUCAUAAAGAUUUGCAUAUUGUCUUUCUUUUCUGAAAACUAAUCUAGUGCAAAAAAAUAUAACUCUCGAUCUUGCUUUAUCUCGGGUAUAGCUUUCAACGUCUCCAUAAGUUCCUUGUAUGGAUCAAACUCUUUGGCAUAUCUUCUACUUUCAAUAGCUGAACAAAUCCUCUCUAUUUGCGUUGCUAGCUUAUCAACCGUACUUUUCUUUUGUUUCUUUCCUUGAGAUUGUCUCACCGAACUUUUAUCACUUCGAUGUUGUUCACUACUCUUUCCACCCACAUCGUCCUCUAUAUUAUCAUCAGUAAAUUCUGCUCCUGCUGAACCACCAAUGUCAAAUUGUGUGGCCACAACAUCAUCAUCAAUACGUAAGCCUUGUGUAGGAUUCCAUGUGAUGCUUCCAGUGGCAACAGUAUCUCCAAACAUUCUAUCCAAUAAAACUUGAAGAUCCGGAUGUAUGCCUUUCAUUCUAAAAGGUCUAACUUUAGGAUUUUCCUGUUGUAAUAAACAUUUUCAUGAGUUUUAUUGAAAAAAGACAAACUUUAAAAAAAUUAAUAAAAGAAGGGAAAAAAACCUGAAUUUUCUUCUCCCACCAUUCAUCACUUGCAUCAAUGGCAUUCUUUUUUGGAUCCCAUCCUAAUCCAGUUUCCUUAAGGACCAAUGUCCUCCAUCUUUUCCAAUCUUCCUUAAGAUUAUCCCACUUACUCUUCAUUUGACCUUUAUCAUACUUUUUGCCCCUUAGGUCCUCAAACUUCUUAAUUAUAACCGACCAUCCAUCCCUUUGUUGUUUGCAGGACGAUUGCCAUUGUCAAUUUGUUCAACGCACAACUUACAAAAGGUUUCAACAUCUUCAGGGCUCCAAAAUGCCUUUUCCUUUGAUGAACUUACCAUCUAUAAAUAAAUGCAAUAUAAACAAAUGCAGGUGAGACAUGUGGUGUGGACUUCAUACUUAGUUCACCAUUUAAGAUAGCUUUCUCUCACUGAUACCAACAGUCCAUGACGGUCUGCGGUGUCAAUGAAAAACAAAUGGUCUAGUUCAAUCACCAAACAGCAAGUAAAACCAACACUAACAUCAAGGAACAUGAAUACGCAACAUAGAUAUUGAUCAUGUGGCUGCAGCACCACACAUCAAACAAAAAAGAUCGCUGUAACCCUAUAGAAACCCCAGAAGUUGUGCAGACAUGAAAACCAAAAAAAAAAAAAAACAGAUUUCAGGAACAAGAGUAUCUAAAUAUAGCUAAAAUCAUUCAUUGAUGCCACUUUUGAACUACAACAGAUUGCUGUUCAGAACCCUGUAGAAACCCCAGAAGAAAAAGAUCGAAUUGGGACUAACCUUUUUGGCUCUAGAAGAAGAGAUUGUUGUUCAGAUUCCUGGAUGAGCUUAUCUCCACCUCUUGAGCAGUGUAUCUGUUUUUCUGAAAAGUAUGCAAUUGAGUCAGCAAAAUUGAUGUCAUUGUCAUUCUGUUUUUCUAAACAAAUAUGCUUCAAGUGGUACAAGCUGUAUCUAAAACAAGUGAAAUUUAAAGACGAAUGGAUUAUAAAUGAGGAAACAAAACUAAAGGAAAUGUGAACACACACGUUUAAAUUGAGUAAAUAUUAAUUCUAUCACAAAGUGAAGAUGACAUAUCACUGAAUUAAUGCAAAUUUAUUGAAGUAUUAUUGAUCCAAUUUUAAGCUCAUAGUGAGGGACAGCAUUUAUGUGACUUACUUAUAUGUUUUCAAUUAAAAGCUCACUUUCGUUUUAGGAGACAUUACAUACAUCAGUUGAGCUUAAAGCCUUAAACCGUGUCUAUAUAAAGACAAAACAAAUAACAAAAUGACUAAAAUACACACACAAAAGAGGGGGAAAUUAAUGUUUUCGUCUGAAUCCUGACAGCCAUAAACAAUGUAGCGAAUCGGAGGGGCGCUCUGCAAAGUGCAAGUCAAGAAAUGCAGAUUUUACGUUGGACCACAGACCUCGGCAUCGAAAGUACAUACAAACGAUGGGAGGCGGUAAAGAGGAUGGUUGGGGGGGUCUUAAAGGUGGGGAGGGGAUCCGGGUCGUCGAUGAGGGAAGAUGAUCCUCCACAUCAAUGCCCGAGAGGUUCCAGCACGCACGGCUCGUAUGGGAAAAAGCUGGAGGGUUGCCUACAUUAGCCGUUACUUAAGUGGGCCUAGAUCCCAACUCCCAUCUCUCUCUCGUGCAAAGGAGAAGAAGAUGAUGACGAUGAUGCAAUCAAUUGGGGUAGGGGCAAUAAGAAUAGAAACUGAAACAAACGCUUUUUCUUGUUGCGACUCAUGAAGUUGUUAUGUCAAAGGUUUGGCGGUUUCACGGUUCCUUGCCCCCAACAACCCCUCCUUUCCCUUGACGGUUAACAACCUUUUCCUUAAAUCCUUCCCCCCACCGCAUCCCUCUCCCCAUCCUGGCCAUCCAUAUAUGCUAACUUGGUUUGGUCAUUUCAACGAACACAUGGUAAGCAGCAAGUUGGGAUUAGUAACAGCGUAUCAACAGUCCAGAGGUGUCCAAACUCUCAAAAUAGGAAAUUGCACACCGUCAUCCACAGUUAGGCUCUGUGCUCAAAGCAUGCGAUCCAAGUCGAAAAGACGUAAAAAAACAAACAACCGAAAACAGGAAAAAAAUCAUCAGCGCAAGCCGACGCAUGCAACGAAGCAUCAGAUUGGAACUAACGACUAAGUGCAAAUCAGCAAUUCCAGCGACCGUGAACGUCACGACAGACGGCAAAAGAUAGAAAAAGGCAAACCCGAAGCACGGCAUCUCUAGUCCCCAGCCACCGGAGCCAGGCAAAAAAAUGCACUCAACGACAGGGGAGGGGAGAAAAACCACGAGAAAUGAAGGAGAAACCGUACGAACCGUGAGAAACGCUGGACCCACUCGGCGAUUUGCGGUACCCGCAGGAGCUCCUCCGCCGGCCACAGUCCAAGACCUCCCUCCUUUCUCACCGGGAACACUAGGCUUCGAGAGCGAGGGGGAGAGAGGAGAGAUGAACUGCAAAUGAUGAGCAAAAGAAAAGCGUAGUCGAGCAAGAAGAGGUUGUCACGAGGGAGAGAGCGACAGAAGGGUUAGAGCAAUCGAGACGCAGCCGAAGAGGUUUCGCGAGGGAGAGAGCGACGGAAAGCGAUGGAAGGGAGGAGUGCGAAUUAGAUCUAGGGUUUUCUUGUUUUCAAAAUGGGCAAAGGUGGGUUUUCAAGAAAAUUUUGAGGGUAAAAUAGGCAACGUAAUAUUUUCAUUAAAUGAAGCCUUAGCAUUCCGAAAAUGCUGAAAGCUCAACCAGCCUUGAGCAAAAUUGGACUUUUAAUAAAAUUUUGAGGGUAAAAUGGAUAAUAAGAAAAAUUUCAUUAAUCCUCCCACCAGCAUGCCAAAAAUGCUGAAAUGCCCAAAGCAGGCAAACAUUUUGCCAAAGAGCAUUUGAAAGUUGAACCAAACACCUUUUAAUUUUUCCCAAUGGGCUUUGGAGGCUCAAAAUCCCUUGGGAAAGCUGAACCAAACACUCCCUAAAUAGACAUGCAUUUCCCACGUUUGGUCUCUAACUUAGUCUCUGAAAACCCGAGUCCACAGGUUGGGCUCGGGACCAAGUCCAUCAAGGCCGAGAAUCACACUCUGUGCUCAUUCCUCCCUGUGCCUUGGCUCAAUAUAUUGAGCCGAGGCGCAAAAUACUGUCGGAAUUAUAAAGAUGUGGGCUUACUAUGUAAAGUAUGGAUUGUUGAGUUUCAAUUAUUGUAACCCCAUUCGAUCAUAAGAAAGUUGGUCCGUGAGUAAAUUGAUCCAUAAAGUGACACUAAAAUUUAUUUCUUCACCUAAAUUUCUCAUAGAAGAAAAAAAGACAAGUUGAUUCAUUCUCCAUAGAGAAGGCAAACAUUAUCCAAAAAAGGAUUCUCGUCCUUCUUAAUAUUGUGCCAAAAAAUCAUAAAAAAAUCUCAAGAUUAGUAGCCUAGCUUGUUUUCUUCCAAUUUUUAAAUCUCAAGAUUAGUAGGCAAACAUUAUCCGGUCAUUCAUGCUUCCUUUUUAAAUCUGCAAUUCGCCAUCCUCAAGACAAUGCUUCAACAGAAACUCCCCCUCCAGCAAGAGUUUCAACAUCGGCCAAUCAAUCACAAGCUAAUCGCUAUUAAAAGGAAUAGUAGCAAAAGACCACAAUCUGCUGCAAUUAGCUCCAAAGGUUGAUUCUGCCCCCCUUUAGAGCGCUCUCUGUGUAAUUGGUGAUACCGGAGAGCCAAUCGCCGUUCUGCUUAGCGACCGCAGUGCUUGUGACGGCAUUGGAGGAGGACGAGAUGGCAGCAUCAGAGAUCGCGUGGAGCAAACCCUUGGGCCUUGGCCCUGCCGAAGAGCUCCUUGACGAAGACCGAGAGGCGGAAGGAAGGAGGAAAUGAAGCUCUGAAGGAAGGACGUGAGAAAGAAGUCCUAACGUGAAAAAAGAUUGGACUUCCCCAAGAAGGACUGGAAAAUUUCUUUGACCACAUUUUCCACCCUCAGAACACCAGAAAUUUUGAAAAAAGUUUCCCCUAAAAAAGUAUUUUUCGCAAAUCAAAAGGAGCCAAGGAGGAUGCGGCAUAUAUGCCCACAAAAUCUCAUCUCAAGAUUUGACCAUUUAGUAAUCAGGAUCUAUUCUUCACACAACCUUAGCAACAAUGUCUAGUUAAAACAUAUUGAAUUACCAUAGUCUUUCCAAGACAAUUAGAACCACGUCCAACUAAAAAGUUCUAUCUAAUGUGACAUGUAAAUCUACAAAAUCUCAUCUCAAGAAUUGACCAUUUACCUUCACACAACCUUAGCAACAAUGUCUAGUUAAAACAUAUUGAAUGGUCACAAUUGGCAAUUUAUGCUUUAAAAUGACAAAGGAAUUUCAGUUUUGCUAGUUUCCGCUAAUGUUAAUUUUGGCAUAUCAGAAAUAGAAGAUAAAAGCUUAUAGCUCUCGUUCCAAAGGCUGAUCAGAUCAUUCUUAUAUGUCUAAGCCAAGAUGACAUAAAUUGUUUACCUCCUAAAAGUUGAAAUUUAGUAGGGGUUGCCAAUUAAAAUGACGCAAACUUAAGACAAGAUCAUCAUUUGUUUCCAAGAUGGCUUGAUUUAACUGUUAAUCUGCAUAAUUUAUUGCCAUGGAACAGUUGAAGUACUUGGUUAUGCCAAGAAAUCUUUUAUGUGCCAAUGAGCCAGUGGUAGAAGGUAAGGUCAUUGAUCGAAAAGUGUUCUCCCUAAACAAUGUUUGUUUCACCUUAUUGAACCCGAGUGAUUGCCAAACCGUGUAGGUCUUACAAUUCCAAAAGCCACAUCUGACUAUUUUGUGAAGUUCAACGUGAGUUCAACCCCCAAAAAAGAAAGAAAGAAAAAAAAAAAAAAAGGAAGAUGGACAAGAGCAGGGUGAUUCAACUAUGGAUAGCUCAGCUCAGCAUCCACACAUCCUCGUUAGGUUUUAUCGAGUCAGGUAAAUUAGAUAAACAAGUAAACUUGCGAGCACAUUCAUUCAAUAGGCAUCACAGAGUUGUUUUUACAAGGAUGAUACAUUCAGUUACAUGCUAUUUACAUUCCAAGUAAAUUUCAGUAGAGAUCCUGUGCAUCUUGUGAUUGACAUGGAAACAGAUUGAUGGAAUGCAUUACAUGAAUAAACUUCAUCUAGAGCUACCUAGUGAUCUUCAAGAAAUUAGGUGCUGACUUGGGAGCAUUUUUACUUUAAUUGACUCGUGGCAUCGAAGUCUUAACGCAGCCUCAAUGCGGAAGCAGAAGUAAUCCUGGAAAGCAUAAGGUUUCCAUUGUCUUCGCUCUUAUAUUCCUUCAAUCGUGGGCCCAUGAGGAUUUUGCAUAUUGCUUCAAUCAUGGGUCCAUGACAAUUUUGCACGAUCCCCAUGUCUCCGUCAUUAAUUCCACACCAUAGUAGACUAAAUGGUCCACAAGGCCGUUAUGAGUUACCAAUAUGUAGAAACACACUUUGAUAUGUCGUCCGUAAAUAUCUCCGGUAAUAAAGGACUGGCAUUCCCUGGAAAAAGCUGUUCUGUCACAUGACUUAUUGCACGUAGCAUGACAAAUCCGCAAAAUAAUUGCUUGUGACAGGUAGCUAUGACUGAGACUACCUCCUUACCUGCUGCACAUUGGAUCUUCUCUAGAGCCAUCACAACCUUUCUCGACCAGAUAAACCAGACUACCAAAUCCAAUAUCAUACAGCCAUAACUACAAAAAAAGUAUGAUUUCAAUUACAUGUGAACACUGACAUAGAAAAAAGUAAGAUUAUCUCACAUCAAUAUGCUUAUUUGUGGCUGUCAUUGAGCUAGUUGCCUAUAAUAUAGGCAUUAGUAGACAUACAUUAUUUAAAUGAGUUAUACCUUAAAAUUGCAGAGAGUUUAGGACUAGGUCAUGAGUUGUCAUACAGAGAGAGAGAGAGAUACAUAUUAUUAUGCAUCUUAAAUUUUGGAAUUGGUAUGGGAAACUCAUGAUAGCUUUACGGGAAUGAGAAGGGCUCCUUAUAUAUUGUCAAAAAGGUCAUAAAUACUAUGAACUGCCCUGCUUUGUUAAGAAGAUAAAACACACAAAACUAUUAAAAUUUAUACACUAAAUAAAGUGAGUACGAACAUUGUUGGAAAAAAAAAAUAAGGCUUCUCCAGUUAGAUAGCUUGAAAUAAAUGCAAAGCAAACGUCAAAUGCAGUCAACGACAAUUCCCCAAAAUUAUCUGAUAUUCUAUGGGAACCGAGAAUAGUACAAAGGCAAAUGAGGCACAAUAUCGUGUCCAUUAGCUACAUGUUAUUGUAUUUGGCAUGCUGUAGUAAGACACAAACAUUGCAUUGCCAAUAUGAGGUCGUCCAAAUGUCAAGUAAAUCAAGCGAGUGCUGGUCUGGAAAAAACAGCUUCAGCACACACAAUUAGACAGCCAAAUAACUUGAAUGUUAACACUUUUGCUAGGGGAAAAACUACUGUGCAUCAAUAACCAUAUAUUGCAUUUCACAUAUGAAGGUGAACAAUAGAACAGCCCUUAUCUCCAUGAUGGUUGGAGGUCUUGCGUUACUCUGUCUAGACCCCAUCCAUAAUUUUCCCAAAACCAAACCCCACAGCCACAACAAAACCAACCCCCACCCCACUUUUCACCCCUCAAGAAAAGGUGUCCAUUAUAUGGAAUAGUGGUUGGGGGUAAAUUUACGACCAAGGCGCAUUUAAAUGCUCCUACAAGAAGUGCUUGGAUGCUGAUGGGGUCAGUCACAUCUUGCUAAUGACAUAAACAAAACAUUCUAGGUUCAUAGGGAAAUUGCCCCUUGAACCCCAAAGCUUACAGUCAUUAAUAGCAAAGGAGAACUAAAUCUUAAAAAGGGCCACAAUGCAUGGAAAGGGCCAUGACGUAAACAAAACAUUCCAGGUUCAUGGUGAAAUUGCCCCUUGAACCCCAAAACUUACAAUCAUUAAUAGCGAAGGAAACACUAGAUCUUAAAAAGGGCCACGAUGCAUGGGCAUGAUGGCUCAGAACAAUUUUCCGCCAGAAAUUGGCAAAUAAAAAUGACAUUUUAAAUCAUCCAAGUAUUCGGACAAGACGUUAACAUUGCUGCUAAUAAUUCGAGAAAAUAUUUAGUCUAAAGUUCACACAACCUAUGAUCAGCCACGUGAAUGUCUGUAUAAUCUGAAGAAGAGAAUUAAUGGGACAUGACUUUGAGGUGGAUACCAUUUUUGGUACCAAUUCUGCAACAUGUGCCUAGAAAAAUCUAGACCACUUUGUCCAACAAAGCUGAGACAAAAAGCAAAAUAUAGAUAGAACUGGCUCCAGCCUAUAACAUAUUUGGUCCCGUAGUCCAACUGAAAAGGAGCUGCUUCUUUUGAUUAGAGAGAGAGAGAGAUAGAAACAGCGCACAUAACACAGAUUUAGGAUCAACAUGUUCUAAUUUAAAAUGCAUUAGCACUUCAAGAUUACAUGAUAUAGAAUUUGAGCUUCAAGUGCUUGCAAAAGUUAUACGUCGAAUAUAUCAAUAAUCCCAUUAAGUUUCCAUUAAGUAGACUUUGUAAUGAUUAGUUGGAAGUCUUUAUCCACUAUAUUUAGGUAUUCCACCAACUUGAAGCUCCACGGCUUAACACAUAAGACUCAAUUCACACAACUAAAUACAUCGACCAUAGGUGGUUCAGGUAAAGGUUUGCAACCCAUUUUGCUUGUGUUUUGUCUAUUGGUUGAUUUGCCAAAGAAGAAGAAAAAGAGAGAAAAAAAAAAAACAAGAUGCUGAUUAAUUGUAAAUAUAAUAUGAAGCCAUAGAAUGUUCAAGAUAUCCAGAGUCUAGACUCUUCAAGGCAGAGUUGACAGAAAUUGCCAGGUAACUCUUAAUAGACCAAAACUGAAAUAAAUGGAAGACCACAAUAGAGAAGAACCAAUAUCUGAACCAUAACAAUCUUUUAACUAUCUUACCACAAGAUCAAGUCCCCAAAAGGAUGCCAUAGCCCCUCCCAUAGAAUGCCUUGUCACCAUGACAUCGAUGUCUCCAUAUAGAUCCUUGGCUCUUUUAAUAGCAUCCGUAGUACCAGGUUGCAUUAUCAUGUUGUGAUAAGCAUAAUAAAUUCAUGAUGAACCUAAUCAAAGAGAAUAGAAUAAGACUGUAACUCAUUCCAAAUCAGAAGUAUCCACGAGUUGCAAGAGGCUUAUUGUCUCUAGAACUCACCAUGGCACCAGCCAUGCCAAGGUAGUUUAUGUCAAGCUGUUUCUAGCAAAGACCUUCUACCCAAUUCUAUAUGCUGUAGAAAUAAAUAGAAGUAAUCACUAACUAAAAAGCUCAAACAACUUUUCCAAUAACAAAAUUAGUGAAGUAUGUGAUCUCCUCAUGACUCCAUCUAAAAUUACAAGCACAUAACUUUCGUGUCUCAGUGGAAAUGAUUCACCAUUUUCCCUUCUUAUGGAUAGGAGACCAAUGUUCUUUGCGCACGAAUUCACUGUAGGCUACUCUUCUUACCUUAGAAUUUCAGCAAAUCCUUCACAUGUCAAAUGUGGGUGGAAGAAUUGCUAAAGUUAACAUGCAUACCCUUGUUCUUGAGUAUCUUUCAAAGCUAUAAUUGCAACAUUAAGGUCCAGGCCUCUCUAAUAUAUGCCUACAGGUAAUAUAUAUGGAUUAUAAAUAGAGAGAAACAAUUAGAUGCAAUUUGAACAUAGAGGCAUCACAAGCAUUGCAAAUUGGUAGGCCACUAAAACACAAAUUAUAUACCUAUAAGCAGGCAGGACAUCAACGUGACUUCAAACCCCUGCUUUCAGAUAAAAGGGCAUUAAUAACCAAUUAGAAGCUAAAAAGAGAAGGCCGUAUAUGCCCACAAAAUCUCAUCUCGAGAAUUGGCCAUUUAGUACUGCAUUGAGGACCUAUUCUUUAAGUUUACGCAACCUUAGCAACAAUGUCAUAUUAAAAUGUAGUCAAAUUACCUUGGUCUCUCCAUCUCAACUAGGACAUUUCCAACUAGAAAGUUCUAUCAAAUCUGACAUGUAAACCUGCAAAUAAUAAGCUUUGCAUCUAAUUACAAAUUUAUUGCUUUGAAAUGGUGAAACCUGAAGGGUAAUAACAACAAGCUCUAGGUAAAUGCAAAAAUCUUUAUAAAGAACACUUACAACAGAUGCAUACUCCACCACCAUUGUCACAGGAGUGUGAUUGUAACAGCUUUAUGAACAUUGGAGCUCACUCUAACAUCUAGACUUACCGGUAAUGAGGUAGUGGCAUUGGGGUGAAUUCAUAAUCGAGGCUCAUUUACAUGCUGCCACAAGAGGCAAUUGGUUGUUGGUGGUGUGAGUCACAUCCUGCUAAUGGCAUAAAAAAAAUAAAAAAUCCAAGUCCAUGGUGAAAAUGCCCCUUGAACUCCAAAACUUACUGUCAUAAAUAACAAAGGAGAAACUAAAUCAAAAAAAGGGCCACAACGCAUUGCAUGAUGUCAUAAUUGGCUAAGAACAAUUUCUAGCAAGAAACCGGAAAACAAAAGUAAAAUUUUAAAAUCAUUUGUGUUAUGCUUGCUACUAGUACUUUGAGAAAAAAUAUAGUCUAAAGUUUUUGCAACCUAUGAUCCUAUCAUAGGCCACAGGAAUGUUUGACUCUCAAAAAAUGACCACUUGUCAUGGAGAGAGAACAAUGGGAUGUGACUUUGGGGUGGGUACCAUUUCUGGUACCAGUUCCACAACAUGUGCCUAGAAAAGUACACUGGACUACUCUGUUAAACAAAGUUGAGACCAAAAGCACAAUUUUAAACAUCUUAGAACUGGCUCUAGCCUACAACAUAUCUGGCCCAGUAGUUCGACUAAAGAGGAGCUGUUUCA